AUAUAAUCCCAAAUCUCUGCAACUACUCCACCCCCACAAGUUUUUGUCAUCCAUGAAAUGAAUCUCAUCUGCAAUGAAAACCCACCCAGAAAUUAGUUAUCUCACAUAAUCUUGAAAACCCAGAUCAUAAAAAUCCCAAAGUACAAGCCUUUCUAGCUCAUCUUUUGACAUAUUUUUAGUAGUGCUAGCUACAGUAUAUAUAUAAAAAGAAGUACUGGAGGUAGAUAGCUAGAGAAAUUAAGAGAGGGAAUUAUAUAUAUAUUAGGGUUACAAGCAGCAGGGGCUUGUUUGUUUGGUGGGUGCAGGAUAUAAUACAUACAUAUAUAUAUAUAUAUAUAUAUAUAUAUAUAUAUAUAUAUACACACACACAUAUGAUGGAGCUAUUUCCAGCACAGCCAGACUUAUCUCUGCAAAUCAGCCUUCCGAACAGCAACAAAUCCACAUCAGGGGGAGGUUGGAGAAGAACAAAUAGAGAAGAUGAAGAGAUGGAUCAUUUGGGUUUCUGGAAGAAAGCUUUGGAUUACAACUCAUCCACAAAUUACUCAUCUCCCAUUUUCUCUUCUUCAAUCUCAAAACCCUCCUUCACCGACACUAGUUUUGAUCUCUCUUUGUCAAAUCCAAUCAGGCCGUCGGAGAAACCAACAAUAAUCUCCAAUCACCACCACCAGUUCCAAAACACUAGUAAUAGUAUCCAAUAUUACUCCGGCUCCUUUCAUCGUCCGAAUUACCAAGACCAACACAAACCUCUUCAUAAUCAUCAUUUGUAUAAUAGUCAGCAACAAGAACAGGGAGGAGGAGGAGGAGGGUAUAUGAGUUCAUCAGAUGAGAUAAUGGGCUUUUUGAGGCCCAUAAGAGGAAUUCCUGUUUACCAACACCAAAACCUUGGUCUUUCUUCUACCACUCCUUGUUUAAAUUUCCCAUUUGCUGUAGGAACAUCAGCAGCAGCAGCUCAACAGCCUUCUCUUGAUUCAAUACUCUCUUCUUCACCUACUUCCACAAACCCUAGUAUUAAUAUUAAUACCCCUCACAGCCACAGCGGCUUCCAGUCAUCUCAACUAGGACUAAUGCGGUCAUCAUCAUCGAGAUUCCUGUCGAGAUUUCCGGCCAAACGCAGCAUGAGAGCCCCAAGGAUGCGGUGGACUACCACGCUUCACGCUCGUUUUGUUCAUGCUGUUGAGCUCCUUGGUGGCCAUGAAAGUAUAUAUACAUACUAUUACACUACUUUAUUUCUUUCUAACUCAUUUUCUUGAAUGAUCAAAAUCAUGUGUGCAACACUAUAACAAAUAUUUACUUAUCCAUUUAUUUUUUAUUUCAUUUUUCCUUUGGGGUAAUAUAUAUCAGGAGCAACACCAAAGUCAGUUCUUGAACUCAUGGAUGUCAAAGAUCUCACCUUGGCACAUGUUAAAUCUCAUUUACAGGUUUGUACACCUGGUUUAAUUAAUAAUUAAUUAAUAUUCACUUCUCUUCUUCUUCGUUCUUAAAUUAACUAAAGAAAUGUAUGUGUUUGAUGAAAUUGAAAUUAUAAUGGUGGUGUAUUUUUUCAUUAAGGCUCAUCUUCAUUUAGGCAGUAUCACUAUACCAUAUUUCUACUAUAUUAUUAUAAGAGCUAGGAGGAAGAUGUUAGUAUUACACUAUUACUAGUAACUGAUAGUAAUAUAUAUAUAUAUAUGGUUUAAACUUCUAAAUAGUCUAAUCACUAUGUAACUAAACAUUCAGAGAGUAGAUAGACAUUAAUUUCAAAUUCCAAUGUCAAGUUAAUUUCCUAUGAGCUGCCUGCAUUUCAAAUCCUCCUCAUCAGCUUUCACUUGUUUUUUCUACUCUAUUUACUAAGUGUAGAUCUGACGGUUCUGCAAGCUCCUUUCUCUAGCUACUAGUCAUUAUUACCAGCUUUUUGGUUAGAAGAACGAGCCGUUCAUCCAUCCAUGUACUCCCUAAAAGAAAAAUAUACAACUGUAUAAAGAGAGAGAUAGAGAGUGAAGAUAAUUGAUUGAUGAUUAUUUAUCAGAAAACAGGAAUGACAAAUCCCAAGGAAUAAAUCAAAAUAGUGUUUUAUUUUAUUUUAGUAGUAUUAGUAGUAGUAUAAAGAAAUCAACUAUUGGAGAGAGAGAGAGAGAGAGAGAGAGAGAGAGAGAGAGAGAGAGAGAGAGAGAGAGAGAGUAGUAUCAGAUAAGAAAGUACAGAAACAGCAUCAUUUCUCAAUGAUAGUAUAUAUCUGCAAAACUAGCAAGGGUUUCCUAAACCCACACUUUCAAAUUAACCACGGUUAAUGCAUAUAUAUAGUCAUACAUACAUAUAUUCUUGUAUAUAUGGACACACACACACACAAUUAUAUAUAUACAUACAUACAGACAGACAUUAUAUGUACAUACAUUCAUAAAACUUUUUACCAUAUACUGUAGUAUUUAUACGUUAUUCAUAAAUGUAUUAGUACGUAUAUGCUGUGUAUUUAUGGUAUUGGAAGGGUACAUGAUAUCUAAGCAUCUAAUAUUAUUCUCAUGGUGUGAAUUUUGUUUAUGUUUGUAUUUAGUCACGGCUUUGUUUGAGUACUUAUAGGGUGAUAUCGUAAAUUAGGUUUAAUUGACAUUGUAAAGCUUUAUUUUGGAUAACAUGCGUUCUUUUAAAAUAAAAAUAAAAAUUUGCAGAUGUAUCGGACAGUGAAGACAACUGAUCAUAGAGCUGCAGCCUCUUCAGGUUAAUCUCUUAAUAAUUUUUGCUAUUUGAAUAAUUAAUUCUUAAAUAUGGAAAAUGUCAAAGCAGUUUACCUAGCAUUCUAUUAAUAUGGAUUUUGUUAAUAAUGUUAUUUAGGACAAUCAGAUUUAUUUGAAAACGGGUCAUCUGGGGAUACUUCUGAGGAUCAAAUGUUUGACAAUAUUCAAAACCAAAGAAGGUCUCAUGAACCUGAGAAGGAUUACCAAGGCCUCUGGACCAACUCAUCUUCAAGGUAAAAACUUAAUUUUACUACUCAAUUACCGAAUUAUAUAUAUAUAUAUAUAUAUAUAUAUAUAUUAUUUUUCUAAAUCCUUUCUUAAUUAGAUAUGCACAUUUUGUUCUUUGUUAAUAAUGAUCAGAAGAUUUUUUUUUAUUGUUUAUUUCAAUAACCCUCAUGUCUUCAUAUAUCAUUGACAAAUUAAAGGGCAUUUGAGGGAAGGAGUAUAAUUAAGAUUAUAAAGCGAUAUAUAUAAUUUCAAUUAAGUGCUGCUUCUGUUUAUCUUUUCUUUUAUUAAGAAGAGAAACUCUAUCAGGGGACAAAUAUAGAAGACUAUCUGUUGGGUACUUUAUCUUUCUCGGUCACUGUUAAAGUGUUAAGGAUUAAUCAAAUGAUGAUCAUAUAUACUCCCUCCGUGACUCCGUCCCUAAUUAUUUAACGUUUUAGAGUUUUUCAUUUGUCCUUAAUUAUUAAUUUGACGUUUAUUCAAAUCUAGGAGAAUUAAUUAAGCAUUUAUUAGAUGACAGAAGUCUUAAGUGUCUAAUUAAGACCUGAAAGUUGAGCUUAAUUGAUCAUAUUAUAUUCCUAAAGAGACCUCAAUCAUGCACUUUUUGCUAGCUAGCUGUGUUUGGAUUUUGAAAACACAAUGAUACAGGAAAAAAGAUUUAAUAGGAAAAGAGAAAGGAAAGUGAUGGAUUUUCACCAACUCUCUUUCUCAUGGAUUAUUGUAAUCCCUUUUCUCCUUACUUGAUAGUACCAAGAAAGUAAUCUCUUUUCUCCUUGGGGUCCUAGUUUCUUAAGCAUAUAAAAUCAAGUACUGUUAAUUACAUGUGUUUUUACUUCAAAUUCUUGUGUAUACCCAAACACACGUAUAUAUAUAUAGAGAGAGAGAGAAAGGGAGUAUAUUUGUCUCCUUGACACAUACAAAUGUUUUCUAUGUCCUAUAUUUCAUUAGUUUUGACAUUUUACCAUUUUAUCCCGACUACAUUAUACUCUUAGUUAAUUUGAAGUAUAAUAAGUUAAUGUAGCUAGAAGUAGUUACAUAAUACUUAUACUGCAAAUAUAUAUUAGUCUCUUAUCUUUCUUUAGUGUAGACAUGCAUAUAAGAAAAGACAUAAGUUCUUAACUUGCAUUGUGUUGCCUGGCCAGGACCAGUUCAAGACUGAUCUCCAUGAUGGGGGUAAAUAAUCUGUUAAUGGUAUCCAAUUUGACAAUUAAAUAAAAAAAAACUUUAAAAAUGAACAUAUCUCUUUCCUUUGGAUUUUGCUGGAUCAAACAAGGCAAUUUACAAUUAGGACCCAACAACACAAUAAUACACAUAAUAGGAAACUUAGUCUCAAAGCUAAGCUAGACCUGUGAUGCAUGGACCCCUUAUUUUUUGAAAUUCUAUAUGCUCUUUGUCCUUUGAAACUUCCUUGUGAGUCUACAUGCAUGUCUUAAUUAUAGUUUAUAUGGUUAAUUAAUUGGGAAUAUCACAUGGGUGGAUUCUCUUUAUUUUCCAAUCAGAACAAAAUAAAUAUAUAUAAAGUGAGAUUAUAGUAUGUAUAUAAACAAGAUUGUACAUGAAAGAUAUAUAGCUUUCUUUUACUCCUGUGUUUGCUACUUUUGCCUUUUACUUUUCUUGGUUUUUUGGGUUUUGGCUCCCUAGCUAGUCCAUUCUGCAUGUCCACUGAUAGGAGAUAUAUUCCCUAAUUGGAUUUUGUUUGGUUUGUAGUAGGGAAGCUUGGUUGCAUGGGAAACAAAGGGAUUGUGAAGAAAACAAAAUUCCAUGUCUAGAGGUACCAAAUUUACCAACUAACCUAUCUUUCAUAUGAGAAUUAAUAUAUAUAUAUAUAUAUAUAUAUAUAUAUAUAUAUAUAUAUAUAUAUAUAUAUUAUGACUUACGUAGAUGUCUUAAUUUAUAUCAUCGAUCAAUGUGUCAUGUAAAGUAGAGAGAGAGGAGAAAAAGACAAAGGCUUUUCAAAAGCUGGCAAGGUAAUUAAGUCUUUCAUUUUACAUAUUAAGGGUCAGCUAUACAUGCCUUUAAUACAAACAAUAAGAAAGAAAUUCGAAAGGGAAAGAGAAUAUGAUUAAAAGUAAAGAAAUGAACUUUCAGUCAAGUUACAUUAUAAUAUAUAGCAAUUAAAAAAGAUUAAUGCGGCAUAUAUAAUCUAGCUUACUCAUGUGGAUUAAUUAAUCAGCAAACUAAACAAGAGAACUGAUCAUUAAUAUAAUUUUUGUUUGUUUGUUUUAAGUUAAUUGGUGGAUUUUGAUUUUAGGGAAUUAAACAUUAUAAAAUUGCAUGCAUAAGAGACUGUAUAUUGUAACAGAGAUUAUAACCAUUGUACCUCUGCUUUCUUGACAAAUAAAAUCUAGUCUUUCAUAUAUAUAUAUAUAUAUAUAUGUGUGUGUGUGUGUGUGUGUGUGUGUGUGUGUGUGUGUGUGUGUGUGUGUGUGUGUGUGUGUGUGUGUGUGUUGAUUUAUAAUUAACGUUAUACGGAUAAAAUUAUCUUUAUAACAAAUUUAAACCGUCUAAUAUUUAAUCUAAUGGUUAAAUUAAUAACACUUUCAUCCGCAGUUUAAUAUGAUAGACGCUCAUAAACUAAACUACAAACAACGAUCAUUAUUAUGUCAAUUGUCAAAAAUGUCAUUUUUAAAAAAAAAUAAUCCGUCCGCAUAAUUAAAUCCAAUAAUCCAUGGCCUAAAGAAUUUUAGUGGACAAAUUAAAUAAAAUCUUUCAGGACACGUAUAUAUACACACACAAUACUUUCUACAAAGUACUGUGGAUCAUUCAAACUACUAGAUAACCCCAAUUUCAGCAAUCUUGAUUUGCAUAAUCUGAUUUACUUAAAAAUUGAAUGGCUUGAUAUCGAAAUAAACAAAAAAAAAUUUUAUGGAGAUAUUCAAGACCCAUAAGAGUCUAUCCUGCAUUAUGAUCAAUCAUGGCUUAAGAAAGGUACCAUUCGUCUUGACCAGAUUAUGCCGGCAAACGGCAUCCACGUAAUCCAUUAGAAUUCCAAUUCACUCGAGGGAUGCUCAAAUAAUCCAUGGAAUCUAAUAAGGAAAGGAAAAAAAUCUACACGUACAAGUAUGUUAAUCUCUGGAACGAUAUCACAAACGACUUUUAAUGCAAAAACGAACCACAACAUUCUUGUGACAUACUUUGUAGACGAUGUCUUCCUUUUACUUUGUAACUUUUAUAAUUUGUAAUUUAGUUAUGCGGACUCUCACAUGUUAAAGUGCAGACGGGGUAUUAUUUUCACCGUUAGAUUUGCGAAUGGAUGGUCACGAUAUGUUGUAAAGAUAAUAUUAAAUUUAUAACAUCAGUCCCAUAUAUAUAUACAUACUAAUCUAAUGCUUUUGUUUUGGGUAGAAGGAAAUGGAUGGAAAGUGCUUAAGCAGCUAUGAAAGAAUAUCAGAAGUGAGUUCAUCAAGAGCAGCAGAGACGAACUUAUUCUGCCCAAAGGAAAAGCCCAAUCUAGAGUUUACUUUAGGCAGGCCACUCUGUUGAGUACUGCUACUCAUUUUGAAAUAAUUACAACUUCUGACCAGAUCUAGGCUGCAUGGUGAAGAGAAUCAGGUACCCCCACUUGGGAAAUAUCAGAAAAGUGAUAGAGGGGAAAAAAGAAGGGAAAAAGAAAAGGGAAGGAGAAAGAGAGGUAAAGAAAAGACAAUGGAGACAAGAAAGACAGAAAGCAAACAAAAGGAGAAUUGAAAUGAAGGGGGUUGGAAAAAGCAGCAUCCAUAAGUCGUUUUUAUCAACCAAAUUAAGCAGUCAAAUAAUGUUGAUUCCUAUAUAUAUAUAUAUAUAUAUAUAUAUAUAUAUAUAUAUAUAUAUAUAUAUAUAUAUAUAUAUAUCAUCAAUUCCCAUUGAUUUUGUGUGUUUUUUCUUGCCCCGGUGAGAGAGAGAAUUUUAGUUUUAACUAGUCCCUCACGUCAUAUAAAAAGAGUCUCACUUGUAAAAUUUAUGAAUGAGUCAUGUUAUUAUGUCAAUUGUAAAAUUUAUCGAUAUAUGGAUUAAUAGAAAUUAUUAUAACUUAUAAGAGGACGUUUAUUACAUAUUUUUUUUUAAAAAAUAUUAUUAAUACUUAUUCACGUAAAUAAUAAUCAAAAAAUCGACGUAAAUAUUCACAAUAUAUCAUUACAAUUUUAAAUAUGUAUAUAUAUUAUUGAAUAUGCAUGUUUGUCCUAAAAUUUACCUAAGUGUUUAAUUUAAUAAUGAUCGAUGUCAAUUUAAUAAGAAUGUGUUGACAAAUUUAAGAAAAUUGUAAUACUUCUUGCUUUACAUAAGUAAUAGUCAUUUUACUUUCAUAAACAUGAAUUAAGAAAGUUAUUUAAUAAUUAAAAUUUAUAUGAAAUUACAUCAGUACUAUCUUUUUAUGGUAAGUUAAAAACUACUAAUAUAAGGGAUAUAUUUUUUUGGGUCAAUGAGAAAAGUUAAGGAUGAUAUAGGAUAGUAAAUAAUUUAUAUAUUCUCCUAAAAAGUUAUAAACGACAAAUAAAUUAAAAUAAUUUUUUUUUUUAAAAAGUCAAUUAUUAUGUGAUGGAGGUAGUAUUAUUUAAUACAACUAUUAAAAUACAUGUGUUUCUUUAAUUAUUUUGACAAAAGAGGGGGUAACUUUACGAGUAUGUGAAGUGAUAUAUAUAUCCUUGGUAAUUGUUAGCACAUUACAUUUAAAUGAAGAAAGCUAUAUGCAAGUAUGUUUUACCAAAUUAAAAUUAAUUAAGAAAAAUAGAAGUAGUCGGAGCUAGUUAAUUAACUCUUUAAUUAUUCUUUCCUAGGGUGCAGGUGCACUGCCACUUGCUUUAAUUACACUUUCCCACCAAAGUAAACACAAGAAAAGAGUACAUAAACUUAGAAAAUAACUGGAAAUGUAACCUAAGAAAUAAAGUACGUAGGAAAUACCAAAAGGAAAAUUAUAUAAAGUUGUAAAAGUAAAAAAGACCAACCAAAAAAAAUCACACAAAACAGCCUUUUCAGGUGCAAUAUAUAGAUACUUGAUUAAUUAGACUGAUUAUUACUUUUCUCGGGCACACACACACACACACACACACACACACACACACACACACACAUAUAUAUAUAUAUAUAUAUAUAUAUAUAUAUAUAUAUAUAUAUAUAUAUAUAUAUAUAUAUAUGGAGAUCAUAAAGUGAAGAAGCAAUUUUUUAUAUACUUAUCCAAAGAAUAUAGAUUUAAUAAUUAGCAAAAAUAAUUAUGUAACUUUUUUUAUAUAAUUAGCAAAAAAAAAUUAUGUAACUUGUACUACAUAAUCAAAUAUUCCAAUUUAUUUUUUAAAACCCAAUAUAUACGAGCUAGGACUUAGACACAAGUUCUCUAGGUCUACUGUCUUAAAAAAAUUGAAUAACAGUUGAAUGAGACUCUCAUUUUGGAGCCAGAGCGGUAUAAUUUUGUCAUGAUUGAAGCUAUCAUGUUACAUUUCAUAGUUAACUAGAUUUAAUUGAAUCAUAUGAUUAAUUAAUUUUGUUGAAUAUUUAUAAACUAGAAUCAGACCGCAUAUUGCAUGGCAGUAGGGGUGAAAAUCGGUCCGAGUAGUUCGGUACCCGAUUCGAGUUCGAUCCGGAAAUAUGAUUCAGGACUCGGAUUCGAUACAUAUUCGAGCCGAAUAUGGGCCAAGCUCGUUUUUGGGGUUAUUAUACUAAACUCGAAUAUGAGCACACUACCGUUCGCUCAUUUUAGGGUUCGGACUUUCCUCUUUCGUCUGAUACAUACUCGAUCCAUACUCGAUAAUCCCUACUCGUUUCAGGUUCGGUUAUACUCGAUCCUUAAUAUCUGAUAAGGGAGUGGAAAAGCCAUUAUCCAUUACGCGUUUGGUUUUCUACGACUCUACCCUUUAUUCCUUUCAUCUCUUCAGACUUCAAAGUUUGGACUUUCGCUUCGUUUACAGAGAAAUCUAGUCUUAAGGGCAGAGGGGGUGAGAUUUGAGGCUGGAAACUGAAAUCAGAAAUCUAGUCGCUUUGUUAUGUGUAAGUCAGCUCUUUCAUAUUUUCUUCUUUUAAUCUUUUCUUUCAAUUAAAUAAUCUAUAUAUAUGUAUAGCUUUAAUAUUUCUUAUCCAGCCAUGACCCAAUCCCCCAAUUUCUCGUCUCCUCUGAUCCAAAAAUCAAACUCAAAUUAAUUCUGUUAUACCAAAAAUCCCCAAUCAUUAAAAUUAGAACCCUAAUUUAUAGCUUUCAAGUUUCAAUUUGAUCUUAUUCAAUUCAAUGGAACACUUUGAGGCUUCAGGUAUAUUCAUAUGUUAUAUAUUCUCAUCUUUAUCUUGUUAUUCUUCUUCCACACCGAGUGUUUGGUUUAAUUUUUAAGAGAAAAAAAUUAAAUUUUCUCACAGUUGUGCAAAUAGUUAUUGAAAAAGUAUUCCACAGUUCUUACAAGUAUUUUCUAACCAUUAAAGAGUGGUUUUGAUGAAGUACAUAUAACUAGCUUUGUUUUUUAAUCCUUUGGUUCUAACAUCCUUUCCUUUUAGAGUUCUAGCAUUAAUGUAAACCACUUCAUUGGAUAAAAAAAGUAUUGUUUUAGCAUAAUCUAGAUGGUGAAAAAACAAACUAUUAUGUGUGUAGUUGUUGCGAAAAUCUUUUGUUCGACAGGCUUAUAUAAUGUAAUAGAUCCUACUUUUCUCAGUUGAUGGUCAGAAAUAGUUUCUUAUUAGUGUGGAUGAUAUCUCCUCAUUGCAUUUUGUACUGAUUUCUAAUAGUUUCUUAUUAGUGUGGAUGAUAUCUCCUCAUUGCAUUUUGUACUGAUCAUCUCAGGUAUUCAAUGAAAAAUAUGCUCCAACAUCUUACAUGAUUAUAACAAAUUAUUGGUGAUAAAAAUUGAACUUGGAAAAGCUUUUAGUUUGUUCUCCAAAUUCUUUUUCAGUUUUUUUAAGGCUCUCAAGAUUUGAAUAUAUAUGAUCUGUUUAUAUAUGUAGACGUCCUGUAUUAGUUUAUGCAUGUUUUACUUCUCAGAUAAUGAGUGGCUUGAUCAACUGUUCUGUUCACUUUGAGGGUUUAACCCAAACCAAAUUCUUUUUCAGUUUUUUUAAGGCUCUCGAGAUUUGAAUAUAUAUGAUCCGUUUAUAUACGUAGACGUCCUGUAUUAGUUUAUGCAUGUUUUACUUCUCAGAUAAUGAGUGGCUUGAUCAACUGUUCUGUUCUGUUCACUUUGAGGGUUUAACCCAAACCAGUGGCUUGAUAAUGAGUGGGUUUUACUUCUGAUAUUUUUUUUAUUUAUUUGUUUGAGGUAACAAUGAGAUCAUAAGUUUGAUUGAAGACCCAUCUGGACCAUCUCAAGUGCCGAAUACUCAAACUAAAAAUCAACCUCAACUUAUUGGUGAUUCUCAGCCAGAAAAUGCUACUGAGGCUGAGCAUAGGAAAAAAAGAAAAAAAAAGACCUCAAAAGCCUGGGACGAGUUUGAUGUUGUGACAUUAAAAGAUGGAACUAAGAAGGUUGAGUGCAAGCUGUGACGUCCCCAAAAUAGGUCCAUUCCAUCCAACUCAUUCUGAGUCGCCAAAUACAUGGUAUAGAAACAAAUACAACUUCAUUAAUACAAUUGUCGUGCAAAAUACGACAACACAUAAACUGUGAGUUUAAAUACAAAUAUUGUCUUCUAGACAAUAUCCACACUCAAAUAAGUCCUCAUUACAAUUAUUAAUACAUUAUUUUACAAAAUAGUGAGGACUACUAAAACAACUGUCUUGAACCAUUACUCCACACCCCGACUAGUUCCCGCUAUAUUCUCGUCUCCUNNNNNNNNNNNNNNNNNNNNNNNNNNNNNNNNNNNNNNNNNNNNNNNNNNNNNNNNNNNNNNNNNNNNNNNNNNNNNNNNNNNNNNNNNNNNNNNNNNNNNNNNNNNNNNNNNNNNNNNNNNNNNNNNNNNNNNNNNNNNNNNNNNNNNNNNNNNNNNNNNNNNNNNNNNNNNNNNNNNNNNNNNNNNNNNNNNNNNNNNNNNNNNNNNNNNNNNNNNNNNNNNNNNNNNNNNNNNNNNNNNNNNNNNNNNNNNNNNNNNNNNNNNNNNNNNNNNNNNNNNNNNNNNNNNNNNNNNNNNNNNNNNNNNNNNNNNNNNNNNNNNNNNNNNNNNNNNNNNNNNNNNNNNNNNNNNNNNNNNNNNNNNNNNNNNNNNNNNNNNNNNNNNNNNNNNNNNNNNNNNNNNNNNNNNNNNNNNNNNNNNNNNNNNNNNNNNNNNNNNNNNNNNNNNNNNNNNNNNNNNNNNNNNNNNNNNNNNNNUGAAUAGUAACUCGUGAAUAGUAACUCAUGAAUAGUAACCCCGACAUGAAAAAGUUCCAAAUUUGAUAAAAAUUUCCAACCAAUAUUUCGGCAUAAUGAUAUUGAAGAAAUAAUAUCAUUUUCGAAUAAAAUAGCAUCCCUUACUAUCCAUUACUAUCCCUUACCUCAAAAGAGCAGUACUUCUGACUGGAAUAACGCUGAACGAACUUGCACCGUAUAGCAACACUAAGGAUAUCAAAAUACUCACAAGAAUGCACUCGAUAAUAUAUAGAGAGAAAUAUAGAGAAAACUUCAGUUUCUGGUGUGAUUUUCAAUUCUAACCUAAGCACCUAUUUAUAGAAAAUUGCUUAGAACACCAAAGCAGAAAAUUUAAUAAAAUAAUAUUAUUAUUAUUAUAAAAUCUCCUAUGCACAUCGGCUAAAUUCAAACAUCAACCACCCACUCAAAAAAAUAAGAAAAACGUUUUUCAUAAAUAAAAUAUUUAAAACUUUCAAAAAUCAAUUAUUCAAGAAUUUCGGAACUUCAAUAAUUCAUAAUAAAUAGCCCUUUUAUCAGAAAAUUCGAAUCUCGCGAGUUUUUAUAGGAAAUUCAAUUCUCUACAACUUUUCAGAAGAAAGUUUUUCCAAAUUCCAAACAAAAUUUGACCGAAAUCCACAUACGGACGAUUUUAUAGGCUAUAAUCAAAUUUUAGUCAAGAAAUAGGGUCCACCGACACACAAAACAUGUGUUAAUCAUUUAAUGCAACAAAAAUACUCUUUCUCCUCAUAUACUCUUAUAUCCCACAUUCAUUAUAAAAAUAUCACCAUUAUUAUAUUAUAAUAAUAUAAUAAAAUAUUAUUUUAUCAGAAAAGAUAAAAUAUCAAUUUUUAACAAUUGUCACUUUAAAAAUUUUCUCCAUCUAUAUCCACAUAAAAUCAAUAUUUUCCUCAUCAUAUGAAUCAAUAAUUAAUUAUUCACAAAUAAUAUUACAGAAUCACAAUAUUGACAACCAGGCAGUUCCCAGGAAAGAGGGGGCUUUCCAAUAAGAAUUUCUCCUUACUGGCGCGCAAUUAGGUGACCAAACCUCUCCUUAGACAGAACUUUCUAGACAUUGCCAAUAAUGUUUUCUAAUAAUAUUAUUCAGAUAAUAUGAAUUAUUGCUUCGAUAAUGGAAAAUACUGUGUAGUGACAAUUAUUGAAACAACAGUAAUAUAAAAUAUCAACGCAGCAAUUAUUGAAUCAAUAAAAUAAAAUACUGAACAGUAACUACUGUAACAAUUAUUGAGUAGUGCCUUCUUACGUAAGAAUCAAUAAUUGGUGCAAUACUGUGUGCUACUGUGCAACAACGCGUAUUACUGGGUUUUAACCUCCGGGUAUUCCAACAGUAUUAACGGUAACAACUACACCAUUAUUUAUAAACAACUCAUACUUGUCUUUUUCUUCAUCCAAUCGCUUUUCGUUAUGGGGACCACAAAAGACUGCGUCGUCGUACGAAUAUUUCCCGACAGCAAGAAUAUUCCACGACCAAACGAAUAUUCCCCGACAACAAUAAAUAUUUUAUAACCACAUGUUUAUUUUAAAAUAUUCGCGCAUUUUACUCAUAAAUAACCACAUUAAUCAAUUCAACCCUUACUAUUUCAAAAUAAUAAAUAGAGAAAAUUCUAUUUUAUUAAAAAAAAAAUCGGGGUCUUACACAAGCAUUGCCAUUCAAGGCUUGCUCUUCAAAAUUCGAGUUCUACCAAUCAUUUGAAUAGGCACAUGAACUCUUGCUCUAUUCGGCUGGCUUCAAUUUCUGGCUCCGAAAAACCCAAGCAGCAGGUAUUAUCUUAUCCUACUUUUGAAGUUGAAGGUAAAACUGGUAACUUGAAUUUCUUCAAGUAUGAUAAAGAAAAAGUAAGGGAGCUUUUUGCUAAGAUGAUAUGUGUGCAUGAAUACCCUUUUCGUAUGAUUGAGCAUGAAUUUUUCAUACUAUUUUUAAAAACUUUGAAUCCAAGAUUUGAUCUCAUUUCUAGGGUGACAGUAAGGACUGAUUGCAUGAAGCUUUAUGCUUUAGAGAAGAAAAAAAUGAAGGCUCUGUUCGAUGGUAUUAGUAGGAUAAGUUUAACUUCUGAUUUAUGGACUUCUAAUCAAACUAUUGGUUAUAUGUGUCUCACUACUCAUUUUUUGGAUUCGGAUUGGAACUUGCAUAAAAGGGUUAUCAAUUUUUGUACCAUGGCACCUCCACACACUGGUCUUAUGAUUUCUGAUUCUAUUUUGCAUUAUAUAACUGAGUGGGGAAUUGAAAAUAAAAUAUCGACCAUGACUCUUGAUAAUGCAUCUGCAAAUGAUUCUGCUGUAAGACAUCUGUUAACGCCAGGAUCUUUCUCCACGUCCCAAUCACGAAAGACGUCCUGAUCCUGCACAGUAAACACGACAAACACCACAAGCUUGGCGGCCGGACCGCCGGGGGAUAGCUCAGGCGCGAGAGUAAGUAUGUCUGUUCACAAGGUUAACUCAAGAGGAUGAUAAAAUCUAGUGUAAUGAGAGAGAUUAUUAUUAUCAGUUGUGUGAAUGUGAAUAUAUCAAGAAACGUACCUCCUUGUGAAGACUUACUCGCCAAGAAAUAAUAUCUUUGCCUGGAUUACUGUGCCACCCACUACCAUCUGACAUAUCCCCCUGAUCUGAUGGGUUCUGCCGACUGCAUGGAGUUUAUCCACUGCUUUUGGCCACUGUUCACAGCGCCGGCCGGCUAUAAUCCCAUCCACAUUAAUGCAUGACAGAUAUCUUGGUCAACUGUCAUACUAUAUCAUCAUUACAAGUCAAAGUAAUAGAUAUUAAGUGACCCAAUGGGUUAAUCCAACGAACCGACCCGGUCCUAUAGGAUUAAAUAAAGCUAACACAGUGACUGGGCCCAACGAACCCCAUGGCUUAAUUAUAAAAGCCCAAUGGAUUAAAUUAAUAAAUGAGCCCAAUCUACCCGGCCCAAAUAGGAGAAAUAUCAUGACCCAACAUUACCCCCUAGUUUUUUGUUAAACAGGAUGUUUAAUGGAAAACUAUAAACGGUCCAUGAUAUCAGGAUUUAUUAAAGGCCCAAAACAGGAAAUAAUUGAGACAUACCCACUUUAGUGCAAAAAAUGGGACAUGGAAUGGCUGAACGCCCAGAGUAAUAGGCCCAAUCAAUAAAGGAUUGAAAUUGAAUAGGAUGGACCAAUAAUUAGAAACCCAACUGUGAGGCCCAAUCCGAUAAGAUAUCCAAAGGUCGUCCCAAACACGCCCCAUUCGAAUUCUCAUCAUUACUGACAUUUAAUGCGCCGGCCUCGUUCCCUGUGUAACCGUCAGUAUAAAAGGUGAGCUUUACCAAUUCUGACGGUUUUACCUGCUAAUUUGAAAUUCGAACCUUUGAGCUUUCUUCUCCUUCUCAAAAAUUCUCUCUCUAGCUUUCGAAACCUCAACAAUGGUGAAUCCAAACCAGACUUCUCCAGUUUUCUCCCACUCAAACCCUAACCAAGAGGGUUCGAGUUCAAAUCCACCAUUUCCUACUGAUUUCUUCAAGGAUGGGGAACAAUUUCCUCAUGCGAACAUUGCAUCCACCGUCACAGAAUCUGAAAUACGUGCCCUCCGGAUUCGAUACCAGAUUCCAGACAACUACGCCAUAAGGGCUCCUGCUCCGGAGGAGCGAAUGUACCAGCGACCAGACGGCUGGGUCGCCAUGCCUGCCACUUUUCUGGAAAAGGGGAUUCGCCUACCCCUUCACGCCUUCGUCGUCACCCUCCUAGGGUUCAUAGGAGUGGGCUUUGCUCAGCUGGUGCCCAACUCCUAUAUCCACAUACUGGCAUUCAUUGCCUUCUGCCACGAGCUAGGGGUUACUCCCUCCGUCGACCUUUUCUUCACCCUUUUCUCGGCCGGUAGAUCCCGAGAACGAGGGUUUAAGAUGCUGAGCAAACAAUCUCCGCGCCCAAACUCUAAAUUCGAGAAGAGGCCCCUGAUGAGCACCCCUUCGAGCAACAAAGGCUGGCACGAGAAAUGGUUCUUCAUCACUGGACCAGAGAUCUCUUCUCUUCCAGAUUGGACCAUCCUAGACCGGAUCUCUGCUGACUUUGGUGACAUUCCCGAAGAGCGUGUGAAGGAAAUGGGAGACUUUCUGAAGAAGAUCCCUCCACAAGAAUGGAGUUUUACCCUGCUGACCAAACAAGCCUGGCUGUAUGAUCAUAAAUGUAAGUUUUGAAUAACUCUGCAAUAUAAUUUUUGAGGUAUUUAUGUGGCAAGGAUUUUAAUAUGUGAUUAUUUGCAGUGUCCCUGAUCAAACCAACUUCUUCGGAAGUGAAAGAUUUGGGAGAUUUUCUGGCGGGGAGGACUUCGGAGGCUAAUGAAGAGCUUCCUACUGAAGAGCCUUCCCGAACCGACCCCCCCACCUCCGACCCAGCAACUACCCCCCUUCGAAAUGAUGAGCCUGAAGCCGACGAGCCUCUCAUUCCUGAAGAAAUCCUCCGACCUCGCCGAAGCGACGAGGAGGUUCUUCCCGAAGCAAACCCACAAUCAACUCCUCCAACUGAUCCUGUUGCCACACCUUCUGAACCAGCCCCAAUAAAGAGGAGUCUACUUGACAUACCUCUACACGAUCGAGCGAAAGUCCUUCGUGCCAAAAAAUUAAGAUCAAAAAUAAUUCCCCUCACCGCCGAAGAACACCGCGUCCCUCCAACUUCAACAAUUGACCCCCCAACCGAAACCCAAACACCUGAUGCUGAGUUGGUAGAAGCCGACCCCUCACUGUCCCGAAAAAGAAAACAACCUUCGGACAGCCAUCCAGUUUCAACCUCUGCCCCUUCUUCAACUCCUGAGCCUAUACCUGCUCGAUCUCCUUCCCCAGAGGCGGUAUAUGCGGAUCCUUCGCCGGUUCGCAAUCAACCUGUGCCUUCUCCUCCAAGACACACGACUACCGAAUUUCAGCAGGAUGUCAUGGGCUCGCCAACUAUGUGGCCCCCGAUUCAACGCCAACUUCCCCUUUUAACUGUUCGAGGCUUUCGUUCGCGAGACCGAUGACCACCGAUUUGGGAACAGUACAAAUGGGGACUUGCUUAGCGAAGGCAUGAGCUACUUGGCGAAGGUAAAUGGCUCUCCCCUCCCUUUGCUUUCAAUACUUAUCUUCGUACUCAUAUAUCUGAAAACUGAUCAAAUAAAACUGAACACGUACAGGCAAAUGCUGUAUUCGGGCGUCUGCGUCCAAGAUCUCUCGAGGCUGAAUCCGAAGAGGAGGCGCUGAGGAAGGAGAACUCCAUCCUGAAGUCUGCCUUGGCUCGGGAAAGGACCCAACGUGAAGGCAUCCUUCAUACCAAUGAAGGACUUCAGAAAGAGUUGGCCCAAGCCAAGGAAGAUGUGAAGGCCUCCAAGGAAGAACUGAAGUCGACUAAAGCACAGCAUGCUGAAAUCGUUAAUAUGAACGUCGACUUGGUUCAGAGGAGUGAACUAAGGAUGAACAAGAUCAAGGAGCUGAAGGCUAACGCUAAGAUCUUGACCAAGACGAUCCAUAAGCUGGAGCGGGAAGAAACCCGUCAGAUGAAUAUACGGCAGCAGCUCGAACAAGAAAUCCGAGAACUCAAGGCUCUUCGGGACCUUGGGCCUCCUUUGACUGAUGCUCUUCGCAAAGAGAUAUGUGAAGAGUACCGGAACUCGGAUGAAAUUAAUGGAGAAAUAAUGAGGAUUCAUACGGAAAGCUACGAGCUCUGCCGAAGUCGUGGCAAGGAAAAGCUGAUCAAAGCCAACUUAGAUCCAUACUUGCUCGACUCUUCAGAUGAUGAGGGUGCUGCCUGAGGCAACAACUUUUGUUUCUCUUCGGUUUUAUUUAAAAAAUACUUGUAAAAAUUUUCUGUUAUUUUCCCUUUUUGUAAAUAAAUUAAGUAUUAAUGAAAAGUGAUCUUCUCCCUUAUGACUUCAGUGUAUUUUUACUUCCUGCCAAUACUUCAAUAUGAAUUUAUAGGGACAAAUGUACAAAAACCCCUUCAAGGAUUUAACUCAAAUUGUUAAUUAACAAUUAAGCAUGUCAUAUAACAGAUAAAGUGAAAUUAAAGAACGAGGCAUUCCGAACUCAACACUUAGAAAAAAUUCAGGUAAUAAAGUAAAGAGAUACUCAUUCAGUUACCGAAGUGUGAGACAGAUCUGCUUUAUCGUGAGUUUGUUUACCCCAAAAUGCCUAACAACACCGAAAGAUAACCUUCGCCUACCACGAAGGGCCUGACGAAGUUUAAGUGUCGACCAUUGCCUACCACGAAGGGCCUGACACGUCUUAAAGAUGACACUUGCCUACCAUGAAGGGCCUGACAAGGUCUAAGUGACGACAAUUGCCUACCCCGAAGGGCCUGACAAUGCCAAAUAGUGGCGACAAUUGCCUACCCCGAAUGGCCUGACAAUGCCAAAUAGUGACCACCUGCCGAAGAGGCUACCAUCGAAUGGUCAGCAAGUCCUCCCGAACCUCCUAACACCAAUGAACUGAGCAACAACAGAGAUAAAAUUUGUUUGAGAGAAAAGAGGAACUUUUAUUGAUGAUGAUGUAAAUAUUUACAGACUUCCGAUGUACUGACAUUGAAUCUACUGAAAGUACUUUCUAAGCCUGCCAGCGUGCCAAGUGUUUUUGAUUACUGAGCCAUCUAAUGCCUUUAACCGAUAAGUCCCCGGCUUCGGAACUUCAAUGAUUUCAUAUGGUCCUUCCCAAUUUGGCAUCAACUUUCCCAGAUUCUGAGGCGUAGAUGCUUCGACUUCUCUGAGGACAAAAUCUCCUACUUCAAAUCUGCGAAGCUUUACCCCCUUAUUAUAAUGCUUAGCCACUCUUCGCUGAUAGGCUGCCAAUUUGAUUAAGGCUAUCUCUCUAACUUCUUCCAGCAAAUCAAGAUUGGUCUUCAGCCCUUCUUCAUUGUAGAUCUCUCGUAAAUGACUAACUCGAAGACUUGGAGAUCCAAUUUCAACUGGGAUUAAGGCAUCAGUACCAUAAGCCAGUCUGAAAGGUGAAUCCCCCGUUGUAGUCCUUGGGGUAGUUCGAUAAGCCCAUAACACACUUAGCAGCUCCUCCGGCCAUCUGCCUUUAGCUUCGUCCAACCUACGCUUGAUCCCAUUCAGCAGCGUUCUGUUGGUUACUUCAACCUGUCCGUUUGACUGAGGAUGAGCCACCGAAGUCUUUCUGUGCUGGAUCCCCAAUUCUGCCAAAAAUGUUUCAAACUUUGACCCCACAAACUGACGUCCAUUAUCCGAUACUACCACCUUAGGAAUUCCAAAACGGAAUACCACUGAUUCUUUCACGAAUUUCAAGCACUCCUGUUCCGUUAUUGACCUAAGUGGCUUUGCUUCUACCCAUUUGGUCAUAUAGUCUAUGGCAACUAUAACAAAACUGACCUGACCUUUUACUUUUGGUAGUGGACCCAGUAUAUCAACCCCCCAGACAGCGAAGGGUAUAGGAGAUAAAAUCGAGUAUAGCUCUUCCGGUGGCUGAUGAGGUAUUAGACUGUUGAGCUGGCACUUCUCGCAUUUCUUUACGUACUCAGUUGCUUCCUUGAAGAUAGUAGUCCAGUAGUACCCCUGACGAAGUACUUUAUAGGCUAAUGACUUAGCAGCCAUAUGGUCGCCACAAAUGCCUUCAUGCACUUCUCGGAGAACAUAUUCAGCUUCAGAUGAAGUCAAACAUUUCAAUAAUGGAGACGAGAAGGCCCUUCAGAAAAGAUCCCCAUCAAUCAGAACAAAGUUGGCACUCUUGUACUUGAUUUUCUUGGCGAGCAUCCGAUCCGAAGGUAAGACGCCAUCAGCCAAAUAUUCCAGGUAGGGAGUCAACCAGCAGUUGGUUCCGUCAAUGCACAUUACCAUUUCAUGAUGAACACUAGGAUGUUGCAAAAUUUCCAGGUACACCGAUCCUUCAAAAACAUUAACAUCCGUAGUGGCUAGUCUGGCGAGUGCAUCAGCAAUGGAAUUGUUAUUACGCUCGACCCCCUGAAACUCGUAGGAUUAGAAAUACUGAAGUCGUUCUUUCAAUUCUGCCAAAUACUUGAUCAUUCUUGGACCUUGAGCUUCGUAUUCCCCAGAGAAUUGUUUAACGACUAACUGAGAAUCACUAAAGAUGACUAUUAUCUGCACUUCAAGACUCUUCGUUAAUCGUAACCCUGCAAGCACUGCCUCAUACUCAGCUUCGUUGUUCGUCGCUUUAAACUAAAAUCUGAUGGCCUGUUGCACCUUGAAUCCCUCCGGACUUGUCAAGAUAAUCCCUGCUCCACUGACGUCCGAAGUAGAAGACCCAUCUGCAUACAGCGUACAUGAACUCUCCUUCUGCUGAAGAACGACAACUGCUCUGUCAGAUCCUCCAGCAUCGGCCACGACUUCAUCAGCUUCAGAAAACGAACACUCAACCACAAAAUCAGCCAAGGCUUGCCCUUUGAUGGCGGUUCGGGGAUGAUACUCAAUAAAGAAUUGGGACAACUCCAUCGUCCAUGCAGCUAGUCUCCCCGAUACCUCUGGUUUGCCCAUAAUCUUCUUUAAAGGCUGAUCUGUGUACACUAUUACCAAUCUACCCUGGAAGUAUUGCCUAAGCUUUCGACUAGCAGUUAUUAGAGCAAAAGCAAACUUUUCAAUGUUUGGGUACCUUAUUUCAGCAUCCCGAAGGACAUGGCUUACAUAAUAAACCGGGUGCUUCUUACCCCCAACUUCACGCACCAAAACCGCUCCUACCGCCGACGAGCUAGCUGCUAGGUAUAAAUAUAGAGGCUCGGCAGGAACGGGCUUCACCAACAAAGGAGCCGAAGAUAAAUAGGACUUGAUGCUUUGAAAGGCGUCUUCACACUCCGAAGUCCAUUGGAAUGUUUUUGGAUUCUUCGGCCCUUUCAAUGUGUCAAAAAAUGGCAAACACCUUUCUUUCAAUGAAGUCUUUUAAACUGGCGCAAUCGUUCGUAUCAUGACCCGAAGCUUGAUGGUAAUCGCAAUACUUGCGAGGAUUCCCUUUUUCGGGCUUAAUGUUAUCUCGUGGUGGCUCAAAGAUAGGUUGAUUUUUGAUCUGAUCCAAGAUAACAGCCCUGUCUGCGUUGAGUGCCGUGUACGUCCUAUUUACUCUCUGGGUCGAAGCGAACGAACGUCCUCCACCCUGCCUCCAAUUGUUGUACCUCUUCGACCCGCCAUCAUGACGGUCUUUAUUCCCUUCAUUCUUCUUCUGAUCUCCAUCGGUUUUGUCCCGAUCUAUCUCCUUAAGCCGAUCUGAAGGACGUUUGAGGCUGCUCAUGGCUUCCUCCACCACGAUAUAGCCUUCGGCUUUGUCAAAGGCUUCGGCGAGACUCUUCGGGUGAUUAAACAUAAGUUUUUUCACCAACUAUUCCGAUUUAACCAGAUCUAACCCGUUCUGAAACAGUCCCACAGCAUGUAGAUCAUUUAAAUCUGCCACUUGACCGACUGCUUCCCGGAACAGCUUCACAUACUGGCCCAAAGAUUCAUUAGAGGAUUGCCGAACUUGAGCCAAUGAACCAGUUGGUUUUCCCCUUCUUCUGUUGCUCCCAAAGCGAGCAUGAAACUUGCUGCACAUGUCUUCCCAGGACGAGAUUGAAUCUGAGGGUAAGGUCCCCAUCCACUGUCGGGCAUCCUUUCUAAGAGUUGUGACAAAAGUAUGGCAUUUAGCAGCAUCGCUAAAGUCAUAAUAAUCCAUGAGUCGGUCAAACGCCUGACUAUGGUCGGAAGGGUCCCCCGAUCCAUCAUAACUCUCGAUAUGGGGCAACUUCUUGGUGGGAUCAGCUUUUUUUCUAAGAAUCUCCGCGGAAAAAGGGGACGCCUUCUUUCCCGGAGCGUCUUUGGUUUUCUACACUUCGGCAAGCUGCUUCCGAAGCUCCUUCAAUUCUUUAACCAGAUACUCCACGCCUUCUGGUUGAGAUGAUGCCUCCUUCUUCGGUGACCCCUUCUUCCUAUAAGCAGACCGGAUUCUUUCAACAGGACCUUCAACUUUAGAGGGGCUUCUCCGAUGACGAGUGUUUACAGGGCAGGGUGCCCUCAGUAGACUCUCGAGAGUAUGUCCUCUGGAUAUACUUCGCCUCUGAACCCGGGCACUAUGGUGAGAAUGUACAAUGACAAGGGCUUUCUUUGCAUGUUCUGGAGUGCGAUCCCUGGAUCGACCUCUUCUUUCGCUUCGCCCCUGUCCCCUAGAAUCGGCAGGGUGAUAAGUCCUCUUUGAUCUCUGAGGAGUAGGGCUUCGAGACCUUCUUCUUUCCCUAGUUCGGCCCAGAGACUGUCGCCCUGAACGAGCAGGUUCCUUCCCAAUCCGAUGCCCUUGGUCUUCGGAUUGAACAUAGCUGAGCUCUUCAUCUCUCAAUUCCGCCAUCCGAGCCAUCUGCUCAGCUAUAUCCUGACGCUGCUUCACCAGUACCUCCAUGGCUCUAUCCGCUUCAUCUGCCAUCUUAGCCAGCCGGGAGGCCUUUGCAUCAUGGUCAUCUCGGUAUCGAGUCCUAGGCGAGGUGCCUUCUACUCGUUUCCGACCAUAACCAGACCCCUUCUCCGUCGGGAAUACUAGCUUACGCUUCGCUUUGCCUACCGCCUUCGGCCGAGAAUCCUCAGGUGACCGUUUGGACGUUGUGCUAGCAUGAACACUUAUGGUUGGUCCCAAACGAUUUUUGGCAGAUACUCACGGUACUGACUCACUGACAGCCAUCGGCUGUCCUUCAGGUGUAGGUGUUCUACUCUUUCCCAUGAAAACUGAAUAGAAUAAAACACAAUCUGUGAUUGAAAAGUACUCAAGACACUAGAANNNNNNNNNNNNNNNNNNNNNNNNNNNNNNNNNNNNNNNNNNNNNNNNNNNNNNNNNNNNNNNNNNNNNNNNNNNNNNNNNNNNNNNNNNNNNNNNNNNNNNNNNNNNNNNNNNNNNNNNNNNNNNNNNNNNNNNNNNNNNNNNNNNNNNNNNNNNNNNNNNNNNNNNNNNNNNNNNNNNNNNNNNNNNNNNNNNNNNNNNNNNNNNNNNNNNNNNNNNNNNNNNNNNNNNNNNNNNNNNNNNNNNNNNNNNNNNNNNNNNNNNNNNNNNNNNNNNNNNNNNNNNNNNNNNNNNNNNNNNNNNNNNNNNNNNNNNNNNNNNNNNNNNNNNNNNNNNNNNNNNNNNNNNNNNNNNNNNNNNNNNNNNNNNNNNNNNNNNNNNNNNNNNNNNNNNNNNNNNNNNNNNNNNNNNNNNNNNNNNNNNNNNNNNNNNNNNNNNNNNNNNNNNNNNNNNNNNNNNNNNNNNNNNNNNNNNNNNNNNNNNNNNNNNNNNNNNNNNNNNNNNNNNNNNNNNNNNNNNNNNNNNNNNNNNNNNNNNNNNNNNNNNNNNNNNNNNNNNNNNNNNNNNNNNNNNNNNNNNNNNNNNNNNNNNNNNNNNNNNNNNNNNNNNNNNNNNNNNNNNNNNNNNNNNNNNNNNNNNNNNNNNNNNNNNNNNNNNNNNNNNNNNNNNNNNNNNNNNNNNNNNNNNNNNNNNNNNNNNNNNNNNNNNNNNNNNNNNNNNNNNNNNNNNNNNNNNNNNNNNNNNNNNNNNNNNNNNNNNNNNNNNNNNNNNNNNNNNNNNNNNNNNNNNNNNNNNNNNNNNNNNNNNNNNNNNNNNNNNNNNNNNNNNNNNNNNNNNNNNNNNNNNNNNNNNNNNNNNNNNNNNNNNNNNNNNNNNNNNNNNNNNNNNNNNNNNNNNNNNNNNNNNNNNNNNNNNNNNNNNNNNNNNNNNNNNNNNNNNNNNNNNNNNNNNNNNNNNNNNNNNNNNNNNNNNNNNNNNNNNNNNNNNNNNNNNNNNNNNNNNNNNNNNNNNNNNNNNNNNNNNNNNNNNNNNNNNNAACUUACUGAUGGCUAUUGCAUCUAUCUUAGAUCCAAGAUAUAAGAUGCAAUUAGUUAUAUUUUGUUUCCCAAAGAUGUAUGUCAGUGAGUUUGAAGCAAAGAGGAACUUAACACUUGUUCAAAAUGCUUUGCAAGAAUUAUUUGACGAAUAUGUGUCACUUUACAAUGCAGAACAAGUGGUUAAUAGUCAACGUGAAACUUCAAUUGCUAAACCAAUAGUUUCUGUUAGUGGAUCUAAGAGUAAGCCCAAAAGUAGAGCAGAGUUUGACAGUUGGCCUCAAAAUAUGGACAUUGCAUCCCCAUGUUUGAAGUCUGAUUUGGAAAUUUACUUGGAAGAAGGGAGAUUGGUUUGUAAUGCUGAUGAUAAUUUUGAUGCUUUAAAAUGGUGGAAGACAAACACUUUAAAAUUCAAGGUUUUGUCUAGGAUGGCAAGAGAUAUAUUGUCCAUACUUGUGACUACUGUGGCCUCCGAAUCAACAUUUAGUGCUGGGGGGAGGGUUCUUAACCAGUUCAGGAGCUCUUUAAAGCCCGACACGGUUCAGGCUUUGAUUUGCACAGGUGAUUGGUUGCGAGCUGAGUAUAAGAUUCAGAAAAGCAUGAUUGUAAGUAUUAAUUUAUUUAAUUGUUUUUACAUAAAUAAACACAUGUAAAUAAUAUCAUGGAUUAAUAUUAGUUGUUUGACAUUGUAUGUAAGACCCCAACUUAUUAUAAAUAAAAUCGAAUUUCCUCUAAUUAUAUUUGUGAAUAAUAAGGUAUUAAUUUGAUAUAAUUCUCUGGUUAUGGGUGAAAUGUGCAAAUUUUGCAAAAUAUGCAAGUGGUUAUAAAAUAAUCAUUGUUGUCGGGGAAUAUUCGUUUGGUCGUGGAAUAUUCUUUCUGUCGGGGAAUAUUCGUACGACGGCGCAGCCAUUUGUGGGCCCCAUAACGGAUAACAGUCGGAUGAAGAAAAAGACAAAAUUGAAUAACGGCGUAGUUGUUACCGUUAAGACUGUUGGAAUACCCGGUGGUUGAAAUACAGUAAUACGCGUGGUUGCACAGUAGCACACGGUAUUACACAGUAUUGUUGAAUUAUUGAUCCUUACGUAAGAAGGCACUACUCAAUAAUUGUUACAGUAGUUACUGUUCAAUAUUUUAUUUUAUUGAUUCAAUAAUUGCUGCGUUGAUAUUUUAUAUUAUUGUUGUUUCAAUAAUUGUCACUGCACAGUAUUUCCCAUUAUCAGAUCAAUAAUUCAUAUUAUUUGAAUAAUAUUAUUAGAUAGCAUUAUUGGCAAUGUCUAGAAAGUUCUGUCAAGGAGAGGUUUGGUCACCUAAUUGCGCGCCAAUAAGGAGAAAUUCUUAUUGGAAAGCCCCCUCUUUCCUGGGAACGGCCUGGUUGUCAUAAAUGUGAUUCUGUAAUAUUAUUUGUGAAUAAUUAAUUAUUGAUUCAUAUGAUAAGGAAAUAUUUAUUUUAUGUGGAUAUAAAUGUUGGAUAUAUUUAUUGUGGUUAAAAAUGAAGGAGUUAAUGUUGAGGUGUUUUAUCAGUAUUUUUGUCGGAAUGAAGGUAUUAAAAAUUAAACCAGUGUUUUUGAGAUAUAUUGUGUGAGUUAUAAUUUUUAAUCCGACCGUUGGAUCGUUGUAAUUUUUGGAUAUGUUAUACAUAUAUAAGUUGAGUAUAUGUCCACAAAUUUUGAACCGUUAAAAAUGAACGUAUGAUUUGUUAUGAAUUUUAAGAGGUGACUGAUUCAGAAAUUAGGUUUAUAAAUGAUUUUGGUGGAAAAUUCUAGAAUUGAGUGGGCCCCACUUGUGGUUGGUGAAGAAAUGUGCUGAAUUUAUUUCAAAUGUGGUGGGUGGGAAUAGUAGCAGGUAAAGCCAUCAGGUUGCAGGUCAAGUCUGCUAACAUUUUCCUAUAAAUAGAGGGCUAAGUUAGAAUUGAAAAUCACACCAGAAACAAGUUUUCUCUCUUUCUCUCUCUAGAUUAUUGAGUGUAUUUUGUGAGUAUUUAGAUACUUUGUGAGUUUCUAUUCAUCAGUGCAAGUUUCCUUCAGCCUUAUACCGAUAUUCCGAUCAGAAGUACUGAUAUUUUGAGGUAAGGGAUGUUAUUUUCUUCAUAUAUGAUAUUAUUUCUUCAAUAUCAUUAUGCCGAAGUAUUGAUCGGACUUUUUAUCAAAUUUGGAACUUUUUGUGUCGGGGUUACUAUUCACGUAUACGGCACUAUUCACGAAUACGGCACUAUUCACCGAAAAAUGAAAUUUUCUUCUUUUUGUCCAAGAUGUCUAUUAUGGUUACUAUCUUUGAUUGUAUCCAUGUUUUGAUCUUUAUUUUUGAAUUCUGCUUCACAAUUGGUUAUUAUGAAGUAUUAUUGAUCUUGGAUAAACUGUUAUACGAAUCCCUAAUAUUUGUCCUUCUGUCUCACUGGAUUCGUUUUCUUUAAAAUAUUUUUCAUCAUCCUCAGUCCUAAAUGAUGAUAUUACUGAAUAUCUUUGGCCUGUAGUGCAAAGAUGAAUGAUUAACUGAUGAAUAUCUUUGGCCCGUAGUGCAAAGAUGAACAGGUGUUGAGAUGAACAUGACCAACUGGUGAUACAAAUGAAUAUCUUUGGCCUGUAGUGCAAAGAUGAAUAUUUGAUUCAAGAUGUAUAUUGAUUGAUGUUACAGGGAUAAAAUAUUGAUGAUGGACUUUUAAAUCUUAGAAGAUAGUAGAAUUCAUUCUCUACUUGACUCUUCUAAUGGAUUGUUGUUUCCGCUGCAGUUGUUGAUCUAAAACUUGUUGUCUAUUAUAUUUUAUCAGAUUUUUCCCUGUUGAAGACUAAUGAUAAUUUGUUGUAUAUUAUCUUAGUCAUAAUAUUCUUUACUGGGAUAGUUGAACUCACCCUUUUUCUUUUUGUUCCAUUUUUCUUCUCAAGAGGUGAGAACAUAACAGGAUCUAGUCGGGGUAUGGAGUGAUGGUUCUAGAAAGAUGUUUUAGCAGUCCUCACUAUUUCUAUAAAAAUAGUGUUUGAAUAAUUGUAAUGAGGACUCCUUUUGAGUUUGUAUAAUCUCUAGUAGACAGUAUUUGUAUUCAAACUCACAAUAUAUGUGUUGUCGUAUUUUGCACGACAAUUGUAUUACUGAAGUUGUAUUUGUUUCGGUACCAAGUUUUUGGCGACUCAGAAUGGGUUGGGUGGAAUGGACCUAUUUUGGGGUCGUCACAAUGUAGGCUGAUGAAGAUUCAAUGCAGGAGGUGAGCUUGGAGACCGAAGUGCUGAUGCAAUAAAGAAAUUUAUAAUAUAUUGCUGAUAUUAUGAUACAUUGUUGUUUAUAUUUCAGUUUUUAAAUUGAACUAUUGAACUGUUUACUUUUUUUAGUAUUGAACUGUUGAACUUGGACCGUUAGACUUUGGUUAUUUUGUUUGGAACUUUGGAUUUUCUUUUGAGCAUUUUGGAAUUUGGUUUAUGAAAUGGUGUCAAACUAUUAGCUUUAGUGCUUGAGUUUGGAAUUUGGAGUUUAAAUAUUUGACUUGCAGCCUUGAGUUGAUAACGCACAACUAAUUUGGUGUAAAGUCUGAAAAAAAGAUAAGUUUCUUAUCUUUUUUAUUUUGACAUUUUCUUUUAUUUUUUACUAGUUAGUUUUUUACUUGUUUCUAACCAUAUUCUAUAUUUGCAGGAUUUAAGCUUGGACUUUAGGCCUUGGAUAAUUGAUAAUUGAUUUGUAGAGAUUUGUCUUCUUUCUUAAACUUCAAUAUUAGUAUAGUGGAGGUAACAACAUAUAGAUAGUCAUAGAUAUGUAUGUAGAUUAUUGUUGUUUUUCUUUAUGCUUGAUUUGGAUGAUGCUAGUUUUCUGGAAGGGUGACUUACAAUGGCCAUGGCAUGCAAGAGUUUGUGCCCCAGGGAACGGCUGCCUAUAUCAGCCAACAUGAUCUGCAUAUAGGAGAAAUGACUGCAAGAAACCUUGGCUUUCUCUGCAAGAUGCCAGGGGGUUGGAUCACGCUACGGUUAGUCAAUAUAUCCUUUUGUUUCAUCAUUCUUUUGCAAUAAGUUUAGGACGUGGACUAUUGAUUUGCUUUAAAGUCAUUUAGAAUUAAUUUUUGUAUAAGAAUGACCUAGUGGAACCCUAUUUCUUCAUUAUAUAAGUUUCAAUGUUGUUCCUAUAAUUCAGGCUGCCGCAACAGCAGGUCAAUAGGCUAGCGUGGUAUAAACCUUCUGGACCACUAAUUAUCUCGACAACCAGUUGUCAGAGGGUUGUCAAAGUCUAUGAUAUUCGUGAUGGGGAACAUAUCAUGAAGUGGGAGGUGCAGAAGCCUGUGUUGGCAAUGGACUAUUCAAGCCCUUUGCAAUGGAGAAACAGGGGAAAAGUGGUUGUAGCAGAUGCAGAAAAUAUUUCUCUAUGGAAUGUGAACUCUCUCAAUCCUCAACCCUUGCUGUCCAUUUCUUCAUCCUGUAGGAAAAUUUCUGCACUUCAUGUGAAUAAUAUAGAUGCUGAAAUAUAUGGGUGGAGGAGUUCGACAAAGGUAACAAUUCUCUUUGAUACCCUAUGUUCUUCAGUGAUUAUCUGGUUUAUUUAUCUCAUGCCUUUUGUUGAAGUCUUUUGUUCUAGCAUAGUUUUGAUAUUUAACAGGAUACUACUAUGGAUUUCUUUUGAUAAUUUAUGUAAAAGUUUAAUAUGACUUAACAAUAUGUGAUAUUAAUAUUAUCAGAUUUAUUACAGCUAGAGAAUGUGAAGCCUUGUCCAAAGGAGAUGAAAUGUGAUGUUGAGGUGGGAUUCAUUCAUUUUAUGUUAUUUCUAAUUCUUUGUUCUAUAUGCAUACAUAUGUUAAUCUCCUUUCAAUUCAUUUGUUGUUCUUUAUAAAUUAUUUGUAAGUUGAUUUUACCAACUUUUCUCUAUAUCUGAAAUCUGUUUCUCACUUGCUACUCUUGGGAUCCAUCAGGUUUGCAGAGGGAAGAUUUUGUCUGUACAGACCAAACUCAAAGAAAGAUAUACAUAAGUUUUUAAAGAAAGAUACAAAGAAUUAAAUGAGGAGUUGUGAUAUCCUGUUUUGUGAGCGUUUGUAAUUAUAUUUAGAAACAAUUGUAGAUUUUGCCAUCGUUUGAACACAUGUAUUUUUAUAUAAAAACGAAAUUUAAGUUUUUUUAAGUUUUUAUUUUAUGUCUCAUUUUGGUGUGAUCCAUCUGAGACUCGAGCUCGAAUAGAAAGGCUCGUGAAUUACUCGUUGUUAAAACGAGUCGAGUAACUCCAAGCCGAGUAGUAUCGAGUAAUUUAUCGAGUCGAAUUUGAGCAGUCUUGAAAAUUAUCAAUUCGAAUUCGAGUCGAACCUGAACAUAAAUUUUUUGAUCCAAGUUGAGCUUGAGCAUUAUGAUAUUCGGAUCGACUCGGGAUCAUUUUCACCCCUACAGGGCAGAAAUCUGUCACUUUGAUUUUUCACUACAAUUUCAAAACAGCCUUCAAUGGUUUCGGUAUAUUUGUCAUAUAACAGCCAUGCACAGUCCUACAAUUUCAUGAGGAAAACAGAAAGUCCAAAAGAUCGAGUUGUGCGUGCCACAUGCAUCUUUUUCUUUCCUUUACCAUUACUUAGGUAUAUUACAGUGACAUUUCAUAUCUUCGGGAACCCUUCCCCAUAUUUUACCUUUUUUUAAAAAAUAAAUAAAUAAAAUUGGGUACUUGCUGUUACGAAUACUACUUACUAGUCAUUUUCAUUUAAAAUUAUAGAUACGUCGUACCUUAAUUUUUAUUUUUUAAAUUAAUUUGUAAAAUAUUAAAAUUCAAAAAUGAUACAAAUUUGUUUUGUUUUAUUACAAAUAAUUAUAACUAUUAUAACUUAACCAGAAUAUAGUAUGCAUUCUGAUCAUGUUUGUUUGUUUCUUUUAAAACUUAAAUGAAUUCAAAUUGAUAUUGACUUAAAAUUUUGUAAAUUGACUGGUCAAAAUGUUUAUGAACUUUGGAAUAAAAGGAGUACUAACAUAAAAGCAUUAAUUUUGUUCAAACCUGGUUGCUCCACUAUGAGCUCAAAUUUGGAAUUUAAAGUUAUGGAACAAUAUUUGACUUUAAAAUUGACUUAUUUCAGGUAAUUAUUUUGGUUUAUAUAUGAAUAAAUCUCCACAUUAAUUUUUAAAUUACAAAAAUUUCUUACUAACAAAUACAGUUAGGGCUUCUUCUGUUUACAUACAUGUUUACGAAGAUAACGCGUUAGCAGAGUUUAAACUUCCAAACAAUAUACUUGGAUUUUUGAAUGUCUGAGUGCGGUGUGGGUAGAAAUUAGAAAAAAAAUACACUUAAUCCUCUUACUAUUGUGCGUGAGAGAAGGUACUGUAGGGGAGUAGGGGUGCAGGUCAGGUCAGGUCAGCUGUGGGUGCAGACGGCAGCAGCAAGCCAAGAAUGUCAAAUUAUUUAAGAAUGAUUACACUAUCAUUUACUACUCACUUCAUUCUUGGUCCACGUUCUGUCUUCACAUGACGUGUCUCCCUCUUGGCGCUUCGAUCUUCACAACCUCCAGAAUAGUAGCCCUCAGAUCUGGAAAGUGACUUGUGAGUGUGACGGUAAGUUUUUGUAAGCCUUGUUUUCACCCAAAACCAGCGCUAGCGUGGUCAUAAAUUUUGGCAUGGCAGGGCAGGGCAAUGCAGUGCAGUUAGCAGUAAAAUAAUUUGAGUAGCUCGAGAAACUUUUGCAUGGAAAAGGCUCAUUUCUCAUAAUAAAUAAAAGGCAAGAGCUUGGACUUCUUAUUACCAGUAAAAAUUACUAGUAAUAAUUAAUAAAUACACUUGAAUUCAAUGAAGGAAAUACUAGUAGUAGCAACUGCGAACUAUUGCUGGCAUCAUGUAAAUAUAACAUAUAUAUAUAUAUAUAUAUAUAUAUAUAUAUAUAUAUAUAUAUAUAUAUAUAUAUAUAUCUUACUCUUUUCAUAUGCAAGCAUGGUUGCUUAUUCCCAUUUGUUAAAAGAAAUGGGGUACGUAGUAAUCUGUUUAGACAUGCCUUACUUGUGAUGGUGGGAGAAUGAUCAGAGCAACAGCUAGCCAAAUUAUUCCAUAUGUAGUAACGUAUUAAUAAUCAGUUAUAGGGAGUGUUUUAUAUGGUUGCAUGCACAUUAUAUAUAUAUAUCAUAUGUGGGACAGUUGACACACACACAUAUAUAUAUAUAGGGCCUUGUGGGUAGGGGAAUUAUGUUAACAAGAGACAAAAGAGAAUAACACAAACAAUUAUUAGUGAAGAUGAAACAACAAAACAUUACCAUAUCUAGUACACUAAUAAUCCAAGUUAAAGUACCAGCAUAUCUAUCGCGCAUAAUAAGCCGAGAUUCUCGCGGGUGCAUGCCCCAUUGAUUUUUUAUAUCAUCCAUGUAUGUACUGUGUACAUCUAUCUAUAUAUAUAUAAUUUUACAUAUACCUAUACAUACAUAUAUAUGUGUGCAUGUGUUUUUGUUUGUGUGUGUGUGUGUAUAUAUAUAUAUAUAUAUAUAUAUAAGGAGAUAAGAAAAUGUCCACUUGAUAGUAACUUAACGAUGGGUAGGACUUGGCAUGGCCAAAAAAAUGUUAAGUAAAAAACCAAAACGACAUAUAUAUAUACACAUGCAUGAAGUUGAUGUGUUAUUUGGGAGAGAGAAAUAGAGAUAUUAAAAUCCAAAAUGAGCAAAUGAUUUUGUAAUCCAUUGCUUUAUGAUUGACGCCUCGCUGUCCCUCCAAUACCCCACUGCUCCACUGCUGUAUACAAUAACUCUGACAUUAGUUUUUCUUUUUUUUCUUUUCUUUUGAUCAACUCCAAAUAUAUAUAUAUAUAUAUANNNNNNNNNNNNNNNNNNNNNNNNNNNNNNNNNNNNNNNNNNNNNNNNNNNNNNNNNNNNNNNNNNNNNNNNNNNNNNNNNNNNNNNNNNNNNNNNNNNNAUAUAUGCGUACUGACCGAUCAUACAUAUAUAUAUAUAUAUAUAUACACACUAAUUAAUUCCACUGCAUGCAUAUGCUACUACGUACGUACAAGUGAGUAUUAGUAUUUAUUUAUAUAUAGGAAUAGUAGUACCAUACAUCGUCUGGGAAUGAGGGCUCUGGGCAGUUGGCAGCGAUGAGCAGGUAGAGAUCGAUGGAGGCCCUUCCUUCCGGACUUUCCUUUGGGUUUGGGGUUUGAUUGCGACCAUACUUUUUAUUACUAUCACUGCCAACCCCCUCACAAGCCCCUCUCACCCCUCCUGUCUUUGUCUGCCCGGCAUUCAAGGCGGGCUCUCUCUUUCUCUCUCUCACACAUAUUAUAUGUAUUUAUUUGGACUCCAUUAAUAGCAAAUGGUGACCAUUGGAUCUAAAUUCGCAACAAAGACUGUUCGUUGCAAUAUUUGUUUUAAAAAAGAAAAUCCAGUGUUUCUAAACAACUUAACUACCAUAACGUCAAUCUUGCGGAAGGGAGUUAAUUUAAUGUUAAUUUGAAAUGAGUAUUAUUCAUGUAUAAGUCUAAAUUGUACAUUCAAAUUAAUUAAAACACACUCAAAUAUAAAAUGAUAGUAAAAUAUUUUUAUUUCCUAUCUCUACAACAUAUAUUUUCUCUUUAUCAUUUAUUAUUAUUUUAUACUUAAGUGUGUAUUUGGAUAUGCUGUACAUAAAUAUAUUCAUUUGAAAUCAAUCAUUUUUCUUCAUCACAUUAGUGUUGUGAUAGUUAAAUUAUUAUGUAGUAAAACAUUAUUACGAAAGACCCUAUGCCUUUUAAAGUUUGGGAAUCAAAUCUUAUAAUGAACCACAUAAAUUUAAUAACCAUUAAAUAAUUCAUGGUCAUCAUUUAUUAUGGAUUGACUCUCAUAAUCUAUCUAAUUAACUACACCCCACUUGGUGAUGUAGAGGUACAAAUGUACAAUUCAAAUCCCAAAUAUUAUUAACUACUCACAAAUUAUUAUUGGUGUAAUUUGUAAUUAUCGAAACAUGUGAGAUGUUCUAAUUAUAAAGUUUUAACUCUACUAUUAAUGGCGGAUUUGACUCUCCUCAACUACACAUUUUCAUCCAAUACACCAAUUAUUUGAUUUUAAUAAUUGUGUUAGUACGUAAUGAUCAAAAUAUGAUAAUAGAUAAUUGAUGAUAUUAAGAUCAAUUCUACAAAAAAUUAAAAUCAUAAAAAAUAUUUUCAGCGUUAAAAAGUUUAAAAGAAUUUUCAACAAUUAAAAUUUUGAUGAAAAAUUUACAUGUUCAUUAAAUGGUCAAAAAAUGUCGCAUAUAUUAUAUACGUUGAUAGUAUUUUUUUGAAAUUUGAGCCCAAGUUAUUGCAUCAAUAAGCACACAUUUCCAUCACUCACAUAGAACACACAUUUGAACGUAUAAAAGAAGAAAGGUGUAUAAGUGAACGUAAUUGAGCUGGGCCUGACCCUGGCCCAAAUAAAGGAUGAUCCACAAUUGACUAAGACUACCAAAAUAGGCCCAUCUUCCGAAGAGAGUCGAAUAGCAUUUGAGCUCCAAACUCCUUAUUUUCAUCAACAGUAUAUAUAUAUAUAUACACUUGAUUUUUACCUUUAAAAAUUAUUAUGCAUGAACUUCGAGCAUUAUAUGAGCUUACUAGUUGUGUGUCGUGUCUUUGGCACUAUAUGGACGGUGGAAUUUAUUCUAAACUUUCGACGCCUAGAUGAUUUUAUUAAGGUGAACGAGAAAUUCAAAAUCAAUUGUAUUUUGUUAAAUAAAUUCGCUAAUAAACAAGCUAAAUAUUGUAGUAUAUUUAAGCCCAACUUGAAAAUAGUCCAACAUGAACAUGUCUGUGUUCUUUUACUACUCCAGUUACCAUUGGAGUAUUAUUUUGAAAAAUGAACAACUUCUCAACAAGCUUGCUUCAAAUUUUUUUUAUUAAUCUCAAAAGCCGCAGAAAAUUAUAGGGGAACAAUUAAACUAUGAUGAAUGGAGGAGGGAGUAAAUUGCAAGAAAUGGUAAAUAUUGUUACGUAAAUGGAAGAAAAAAAUUGUAUCCAAAGGAAGGUUUUUGCAGAGCUAAAUCUUCUUAUCUUCUUCAAAAGCAAAACCCACAAAUGGCUGCUGCUAUUCACUGCUUCUCUCUUCACCCAAUUAAAACCCUCGAAUUUUCUCCCCGAAAGUUUUCUUCUUUAUUAUUAAGACCUCAAUUGGUGUCUGCGACCUCAAUUCCUUGUUUGGCUUCCAACAAUUCUGCCAUUUUCAAGAGACUCAAUCGCGUUCCCUGCAACUGCAUCUCCACUGUUUCCCCAAACACCACCCAUUACGAGGUAUUAUUAUUUGAAAGUCAUGAAUUUAUUCGGUUUAUGCCUGCUUGGUUGCUCAAUCGGAUAAUGUAAGAAAGUAAAGUUAAAUUUUCAGUUCUUGAACUAAGCUUCUUAUUUGUGUGAAAUUUUUUGUAGUUUAUGAUUGAAUAAACUGCAUAUUGCUUAAUUUUUUGCAAUGAGUUGAAUUUUUUGCAGCUUUAUAAUCAUUGUAUAAUUAUGUGACAUAUAAUAAUCUGAUUAAGUACAAAAGUUGGGAAGGAAAUUUGUUGCGAGUUGUUGAAGCUGAUUAGAAAACUAAAUUGAAGUAAACAUCAUCAAGAUAUAUGCUUUUAAUUGUCUCAUGACUGUUUGAAAAAAAUUCAGGAAUAACAAAACACAUAACUUGAGCAAUAGUAGGCUUAAAAGUACGACUGGAUAUCUUUACUUUAAUGCUACGUUUGGAUUGGAGAAAUGGAAUGGAAGUAGGAAUGAAAUGGAAAAUAGUGUAUUUGGUGAUGAUUUCUGCCGGAACUUGAGUAAUAGUAGGCUUAAAAGAACGACUGGGUAUCUUUACUUUAAUGCUACGUUUGGAUUGAAGAAUUGGAAUGGAGGUAGGAAUGAAAUGAAAAAUAGUGUAUUUGGUGAUGAUUUCGGCAGAUAAACCAUUCCGAUGGUAUGAAAAUUCAUUCCAUUCGGCAUGCCCUUGAUUUUUUAUUCCAUAUUGGUGGUGGUGGAAUGAGAUCCAUUUGAUAAUGGAUAUAUGUCACAAUUUUGACAUCCUAUCAGCACCGCUUACCGCCACCAACAAUCAAACAUAUACACAUAUGCUUAAAAUUCAUUUCAUUCCUUCCUCCAUUUCAUUCCUUCAAUCCAAACGUAGCAAGGUUUAAUUCACCCCAUUUGCAAUGCAAAAUAAUUUCCAGUAACCUCCCUUGAAGAUACAAAGGAAGUGAUUUGUUCAGAAAUGAAGAAGCUUUAGUCGAUGUUUUCACCUCUGUAUGUUCAUUUGAUCAAUCUUCUAAUAACAAAUAUUUUGUGCAUAUUCUUUAUGUUAUUUUAACUCUCUUUAUAAGAUUGUUUAGUAUAAAUUUUCUUCACUUGAUUUUUGGUCAAUCCACUUUAAGUUUCUAAAUAAUCUCUCUCUCUCUCUCUCAAAACAAACCAAGUUACAGCUUUAAUACUGAGCGAAAAUGUUAUUUUAAUGCAGUUUUCUGAUUGUUCUUCAGAGGUGGAGUUGAGAUUAGAUCUUGGGGAUAGAGCCAUCCAAAGUUCUAGAGAUGUAUUUGUUGAUGCAAACGAGAAUUCUUUAUCAAUUAGAAUACAGCAUUCUGGAUACCUUAAGACUCUCAUGGAAACUAGUCUAUAUGAGAAAAUAAAGCCUGCUGAAACAAUAUGGUCUGUCAAUUAAUCAUGUAUAAACUUUCUCUGCUGCCACUGAUUAUUAUAUUUUUAGCUUAGAGUUAGUUUUGCACUAGGUACUUGGAUGAUGAUGAACUGGUUGUUAACCUGAAGAAGCAAGACCCGGAUUUAAAAUGGCCCGACAUUGUGGAAUCCUGGGAGUCUCUUACAGUAGGAGUUUCGCAACUAUUGAAAGCAACAUCGAUCUACUUAGUUGGCGAGUCGACUGAAAUCAACCACAAAAUUGCUAGAGAACUAGCAGUUGGUCUCGGGUAUGGACCUUUCCUCCUGUGGUAAAAUCUUGUCGCUGCAAGAUUUACUCAUUGGUUAUUUAAUAUUAAUAACAAUGGCUGUCCAGUAACUCUUUCCACUUCGACUAGAUUGUUGUUCAUCUAUCGGAAUAUUCAGUUUUCCACGGUCCUCAGUUGUUUGUCUAAACAAAUUGUGUUUUUUGAAUUUUUUUCUCAUCCAAUCUGAACCAACCAAAAGAAUUCACUUGAGCGUUUUUGCCCUCUGAAAUCUAAGGUAACCCCUUGCGUUGUUUCUGAACUUGUGGCUGAAUUAAAUGUUGGCAAUCAAAGUGGAUUGUCAAAUUAUGAAGUCUGUCUUUUUUUAUGACAAGUUCUAGGCUUCAUUAUCUCCUGUGUGCAUGAAUAUUCCCUUUUAAUUUAUGUCAUUGGCAGGUAUACUCCACUCAACACAAAGGAGUUACUGGAAACUUUUUCAAAGCAAGUUAUUGAUUCAUGUGAGUGAAGUUCUCAAUUUCUAUGUUUCUUUUGUGCAAAACACUCAUGAUAUAGAUUGAAGUUUCUUCGAGGUUUUACGCUGUCAGAGCAAGUACUUAAUGACAUUAUACUCUUGCCUCUAAGACUCCCUUGAGUCCCUUCAUAGUGAAGAAAAGAUUUAGGUAUAAAGUUUAAAGUUAUUGAUGAGAUAGUUCAUCUCUGUCUUCUCAAUUUAUAUACUAAAAUUAUCUAAAGAAUAUAUACGGCAUUGAUCUAGGACUGUCAAAAGGAAUAUCCAAGGCUGGAAAAAAUACAUUAUUCCCCUCUAAGGGGCGGAAGGAAAGUUACCUUUUUGACCCUAUUUUUAUUAAUAUAAUAAGUGAUAUGUAUAUUUUUAUUAGCCUACGUAUGUAUAUUUUAAUAAAAUUUGUUGUAUCUACUACUAUUGUAGAUGUAUUUUCUACUAUCGGAUUAAAUCAUAUUAGUAUUAAAUUAUGUGAAUGUGUUUUUUCUUUAAACUUUAAUAUUCAAAAAAUGGGUCAAUAAAAAUAAUAUUUUAUUUUACAAAGGAAAAAUGCAUUUAAGAAAAAUAAACUAAAACUCUUUGAUAAAUUAAGAGGCAUUGUAGAAUACAAUGGAUUGCAUUGAUUCACAAGCAUUUCAAAAAUAGUUGGGGAUUUGAAAUUGAUCAUAAUUAAUGCAAGCAAUAAUUAACGCCAGCCUUUUGCUUACGGAAUGGACUAUUAUGUUUUGCCUUCUGCCCCUUUAGGCGGAAUGUAUCUUUUUUCAACCCUUGGAUCUUCUUUUGCGCGUCCCUAGAUGCACUAGCUAAAACAGUACUCCUAUCUAGCACUAGCCAUGGAUCAGUCCCCACACACACACAUAUAUAUAUAUACACACACACACACACACACACACUUCCAUUAGGAACCUUAAGAACUUCCACACCUUCAUAUCUUUACCUUUCUUUCACUUGGCCUUUCCACUUAUUCAUAAAGGAGAUGAUGACCAGACAAUACUUCAAAUCCUUCUCCUUGCAAUAGUUGUCUCAAGCUAAUAGAUGCCUACUGUUCUUUGAACCAACCUAGCUACUUACAUUCCAGAAAUUAGGUUAAUGCACAUUUUUCAUCAGAUGACAGACAAUCGAUAUGAAAACAAAAUUAGUUGCAAACGCAAAGUAUGCAAACAUAUACUGCUGAAUACAGACUCCUUUUAGCAUGGUAGGAAAUAAUGUAUAAAUAUAUAUAUAUAUAUAUAUAUACACACACACACACACACACACACAUAUAUAGAAAUUGAACCAGGUGUACACACAAAUGUUUAUGUGGGCACAUUCCAACACUUAUAUUAUAACUAGCACAGUAAUUUGUUUUAUAAUGUUCAGUUCUUGCCUUAUAUUACAAAUUCUUGCUUCUUUUGGCCUAUGUUUGGCCUAUCUCAAUAAGCAUUUGAGACCAGCAUCUGGACAUUUCUCGAAAGUUUUCGAAGUAAAACUACUUCUCUCUCUCUCUCUCUCUCUCUCUCUCUCUCUCUCUCUCUCUCUCUCUCUCUCUGUGUGUGUGUGUGUGAAUGUACGUAGUAAUACGUGCGUGCAGCAUAGGCAUGGGCAUUUGUGCGUGAUAUUGACAAUAAUAAAUUUCAAGCGGCUUUCUUAAGAUUGCUCAAAAUGACCUGUCUUGCCCAUGUUGCAGUGCAUUAAUAACUGUAGUCAAUUCCAGUGGUGAUUGCAGAGGGGUCUGAUGCUGUAGCAGAAGCAGAAAGUGAUGUACUAGAAAGCCUCAGUAGGUAUGAACUUUGGCUUGGUUGUUUGUGUUUCAUUAUAGAAAGUAUAAUAUAUGUAGAGCUCGGUGUUUUUGCAGCCAUGUCCGAGCUGUUGUUGCAACACUAGGAGGGGAGAGUGGUGCUGCCAGAAGGUCCAAUAAAUGGCGGCAUCUUUAUGCAGGAUUUACUAUCUGGUUGUCACAAUCAGAAGCUACAGGUAACUUUUAAUUAUUAUUAUCUCCUUCUAUAUCUAUUCUACCUUAUAACAAGAUACAUCAUACAAUUUUAAUCCUUCAAGGAAUGGGCAAUCUGGUAUUAAGAUGGCAUUCUCAUGGAGAACAGUAGAUUACUUCCCUGGUAUAUUAAACAAUUUGAUCCGUUAAUCCUUUAUCCCCAAGAUUGACCAUAUAUAAGUGUCUUAUAAUAUUAGCAUUGGACACUUAAAUACCACCUAUUUAAAUGUUAAGUGUUGUGCAUUGAAUAUGACCUAUUUCUAUUUGUUGAUUAUCGCAAGCCUGGAUAAACAAUACUGCACAAGGAUUUGAGAUUUUACUGCAAUUCCCUUCCUUCUAAAUAGUGCAAUUCGUUCAUUUAAGGGCUAAUAUAUUUAUAUCUGGGUGUCACAUAUAGGAUUAAUGCAACAUAGUGUUUUCACAUGGCUAUCCCAACAAUUUAUUUCAAUGUAAUCACAAGGCAUAAGAACCCGUACAGUUGGGAUAUGUUUUCUUUUGACACCAGCCACAUGAAGUAUUCGUUAAACUUCAUUGCAGAUGAAGAUUCGGCAAAAGAGGAAGCUAGGACAAACAUCCAAGAUGGUAGUCAAGCUUACUCUAAUGCUGAUGUGGUAGUCAAGCUUGGGGGUUGGGAUGCUGACUAUUCUAAAAGAGUUGCUCAAGCUUCAUUGAGUGCCCUAAAACGCUUAAUUAUGUCGGAUAAGAAGCUUCCAGGUGACUGCUUAUUACCAACUACCUUAAUCUCUUUGAUGUCAUUUUUUUUUAUCACUUGGACAUGAUUUAGUUUGGUCCAACAACUCUGCUCUCAAUAAAUGAUGUUAAAUGUCAGAGGCCAUUAUUAUCCUAGUAUCGUUGAUUUUGGUUUCUCCAUAAACUCUGUUGUUUUGGUAACAUAAACACAAGAAGCUAAAGCAUAAAUGUCUAAGAAGUAAAUAUCAAAAUUUCAGGAUAAACAAGCCAUGCCUUAAAUAUGCAGCAAUGACUGCCCUUUUUAGUCUUUUAAAAUACCCAUACCAGAAAAAGCUGAGUUUAAAAUCCUUUAUCCACUAAACAAUUGAAAUUGCUCAUCAUGGGUAUUCAUCAGUUGGGAUAUGCACCUUUUAGUUCUCUCCCAAGGAUAUUGGAAUUUAUCAUGUAUGAGUUAUUCUUACAGCAUGUUAUUGACAUAAAUGAAUUGUUUUCUUUUGAAGGUAAAAAGGGUCUGUACAUAAGAUUGGGUUGUCGAGGCGACUGGCCAAAUAUCAAACCUCCUGGGUGGGAUCCAUCAACAGGAGCUGCUCGUGCAUAUCCUCUCUCACAGUGACAUGGUACAAAAGUGUUUUCUCGAAAGCUUAUGGAUUCAACUAAACAAGUCUGUCGUGAUUGAUCCCAAGGAAAAAUUGUUGUAUUUACAUCUAUCUUUCCUUGCACAACCGAAUUAAAAGGAUUAUUUAAGCAUAUAAGAAUUGUAAUUAUUAAUUCAAAUUUUAAUUCCUACAUAUUAAGUAUAUAAUGAAUUAUUUAGCCAAGGAAACAACAGGAACCCGGAUAGGGAAUUUUUAAAUACAUACCAACGUACAGCUGUCUGACCAAAAAAUAACUAAGGAUUCACCUUCAAAUUAAAAAUUUUCAUUUAAUUCAUCAGCUUCAUAAUUUUGCACUGUCCAAAAACAAAUCUUUUUUUUUAUUUUUCUAAAUUGUCAUCUUCGAAAGAAUCCAUGUCCAAACACCCCAUUGGUGCAAAACAGUUAUAAACAGUGAACAAAUACAUUUUUUAAGAAACCCUCUGCUAGCAAAACUGAAAAAACAAAACUAUCGAGAAAACAUAACUUAAAACAGACGAGUUAAACACGCAAAAAUAGGAAAGGGAAAAAAAGACAAAUAAAUUGUGCGAGAACAAUUUACUAGAGAAACCAUACUAGAAUCUUUAGUUACAAAGACCAGCAUCCAAACAAGUUCUGCUACAAGGUAGGUAAUUGUUUAAGUAGUUGAAACAUAACACGGGCUAGCAAAAAGCAAUCAAAAGACCAAAACAUCUAAAGCUCUUCAACCAGAUCUAUAUAUUCACAACAUCAUGUCGACGCAUUUCAAGGCAAAAGCAUCCAUACCCAUGCAUUAAGAUAAACAAUACUCGUGCCCUGAUAAACAAGCUAACAAACGAUCCUGGAGAAGAGCUGGUGUGGCCAUUUAAAGGCCACCCAGUUGUUCUGGUGCAACCUCUUUGCAGUUGGGCUUUGAUGAUACCUGCAAGGCGCAAAGAGAAUAAUGAUGUAUUAAUGGAUCAAAAUAUCAAGAAUACAAAUCAAGCUGUAAACAAAUAUAGACCGUAUAGCAACAAGUUGCAGACAAUAAGUCACUCGUCUUACUAAGGAGCACAUAACAAUGUAUCAUGAUAUAUAAUGUCAAUUCAAAUUAUCAAAAUCUGUUGCAAAUUUACAAUAGACGAGCUCUUUACACAACGAAAUCUGAUUUUGAUCAAAUGACAAAUCUAAUGUGCACAUAAUUGAUGAAAAGAAAACAUAAAUUUAGAGUGUCACCAGACCUUAAUAAAAAGGAUGGAGAAGAUGAGGAAAACAAUAAAAAAUAUAAACAUGCAUGUAGGUCUCAACUCAUACGGGAUGCAACUCUCCGCUCAACUAUAUGGCUAUAUCAUGCAGAAUUUAUCAGAGUAAUUUAAUUUGUAUCACUGUCCUAAAAUUUGGACUGGGCAGCCACCUAGGCAGCGGCAGCGGCGGCCCAACCUUGGAAAUAAAAAUGGCUAGACUCGGCAUCGUAGUUCGCAAAAGAAAAAAGAAGAAACGAAGAAAGGACAGCAGAGAAGAAGGGGAGACAAACUUACCUGAGGGGAUGCUCGCCAAUUUCUGCUGCCAUCAGAAAGUCAACUAUGAUGAGGAGGAGCAGCGGCUAGGGUUCCCAGCCUUCCAAACUCCAAUAAUAUCCUAAAACCUUAUUUUUAAAACAAAGCCCAAACCCUUAUUUUUAAAACAAAGCCCAAACUCUUUGUUUUAAAAACAAAGCCCACUCUUUUCUUAAAAGAAAGCCAAAAAAAUUACAAUACCUAGGCGCUCGAAGCAUCCUCUGCCGCCUAGGGCCGCCUAACGUUUUUUAGAAAAUUGAUUUCUAUCAACAUGUCUUUAAAUAUUACAUGUAUGAAAAACAUUAGCUAUGACUCCGUUUAUAUGUUUAGGACUUUGAAAUUGCCCAACAGUCCGGCUGUGAAUACGAUUAACUACAAUUUUUAACAAUCAUAUAUCCCUAAAUGAAAGAUAACAGCAUAUGCAUCCCAAAUUUUAACUAGAGAUCAGUAUCAAAAGGCCAUAAUCAGACAAUACCUUGUGCUGAAGACUUGUUAUUGUUGAUCUCAACAAUGCAUCUCCAACAAUCCAUCUCAAUCUUUUCACAAAAUCAUUCCGAGUUAUAAUCUUCUUCUGUCAGAAUGUCAAGGGGGGAACCAUAUACAUGUUAGAAAACAGAUACAUCGAUAGCAUCUAAGAAAAAUGAACUUGUGUUUUUCUGUUUCAAGACAUACCCUGAAUAGCUCAUAAUUACCACUAACACGGUUCAAAUUUUCAGGAGAAAUUUUGUUUGAGAUGGCUGCAAACAACAUAUUAAAAGGCAUCCAGGGAGAUUUAGGAGUCCUUGUAGAACUUGAACCGAGAUUUUCGGCUAUUUCUUGCAAUUUUGGAACUGGAACCUGUUCGCAAUCAUUUCCCUACAAAAAUAAACAUAAGCCAACUAUUAAGAAAAAAGAACUGUACUCGAUAAAGUCAUGAAAAAUGUAACAGACGGUCCAAACACCUCAGCAAAAAUGCUUCCUACCAGUUAAACACCACUAUGCAAUUAAAAUCAUCACAUUGUGUGUGCCCAUAUGCAUAAGCAUACACAGAUCAAAAAAAGAGGAAACCUUUAACUGGAACGAUAACAAAUCCAAAUAAGAAAGCUACAUUGGCAACCUAAAAAAAAUUAAAGCAAAAGCUAAUUGAGUACUACAAUUAAAGAAUGAAAAAUGUAAAAAUCUUAUCAAGUCUUGCUUGAUCUAAUAUCAAUUCUUCCAUGCCUUUAAAUUGUCUGCUACUUGAAAAGGAAAUUUUAUUAAUAAAAGAAAUCUAAUUUUAGCAUUUUGAGUUUUUUAGAUAGAAAAAUAAAUUAAAUUAAUACAGAGAGAAAUAGAGAAUACAAGCAGUUCACACACCCGAUUACAACGAUAAAUGAAAAAGUGCAUCCCUUGAAUCUUACAGAAUUCCCCAAAAAGAACCCAUGGCAGCAGCCAUAGUUGUUACGGCGCCACGGCGAGUCAUGACGGUAGUCGACUGCCUGGACGCCUAGGCGACAAGGCGACCGUCAUGGCGUCCGUAAGGCGACAAGUCGUUUACAAUGUGCAAUUUAUAUAUUAUUUAUUUUACUUAUCAAGUAUAUUGGAAAUAAAAUUUUAUAUACAUUAAAACUCAAAACAUAACACUAUGGAAUAACAUUAAAGGCAUAAUUAUGUAAAUACUUAUCAAUAACAAUCCAAAAAUAACACACUUAAUAUUAAAAAUUAGUAAAAGAAAUGAAGAAUUCAACAAACACCACAUAGAAAAUAAAGUUGCAACCAACCAUCACAAUUAUGUAGUCUAAUAACUAAUAAAACACCACCAUAACAAGCCAAAAUAAUGUUUAAACUCUCUACACUAGUCUAGACUCGAGAAACAUCAUUCAAUCAAAAUCAUCAUAGAAAAUGUCAUCUCCAUCUCUUCCACGAGAACUACUCUCAUUCAAAGGCGUAAGUGGUGGUCUUUCUCCAAAAUCAUCUUCCACAUCUUCAUCAUCAUUUGGAAUUCUCUCUUCUUCAUCAACUUCAUUAUCGGAGUCGGAAUCUAUCAACCUUGAUUCCCUUGAAGUUGAAUCACCACCACGACGAGAGUAUGUCAUUAGAUUAAUUACUAGUAUUAGCACGAGCACUCCUUGAAAGAUUGCGACCCUCAAGCGUGUUGGAUGCACCGGUUGCUCGAUCAACAUCAUUCCAUGUAAGAUCCCCCCGGGAUGAACAACAUCGACAUCAUUAUCAAUCCAUUCAUUACCCCAUAAUGCACCCACAUAUAUAUAGUGAUAUCAAAUAACUAAUAAUAGUAGUACUAAUUUACAUAUAAUUUAUAGCAGUAACUACUAACAUGCAUUAUAAUUCAUAUGUACUUGCUAAAACUAAAAAAAAGAUAUGAUAUAAUUAAUAGAAAUGAAUGAUAUGGAAAAAAAUAAAGCCAAACAGUUUACAUAACAAGUUAAAGCCAACAGAUAUUAAUGAUUAGAAAGAAAAAAAGCACCCAAACAAGUAUACAGUUGAAGUCAAUAUUCUAAUACUCAAUGCUCAACAGCAAAUAUUCUAAUAUUCUAAUAUUACAGCCAAACAGGUAUAUCUAUGUAUAACUAUAACCAUAAUAUAUAUAGAAUAUUAUAUAUAUGUAUAACUAUAACUAUAAUAUAUAUAGAAUAUUACAAAAUGCAAAGCAAAAAAAACCCAAAGCGUAUGUUUUAGUAAGAGAGACCAGAAAAAGAAAAAGAGAAGAGGAAAAAAGAUCGGAAAAGGGGAAGCUGCGAAUUACCUGCCGACUGUCGACUGCCAACUCGCGACUUGCUUCCUUCUUCAAUCUCGCUGCUCGCUCGACUGCCAACUCGCGACUGUCGCUCGCUCAUUCUCGGUAGGUGCAAUCGCUGCUGUGUCCUGUCGCUCGCUCGCCUCUCUUGGUCGGUUGCGACGACCGAGUCUGUCGUAGCCUUUCUCUGUCGCGACUCGCAACUCUCUGCCGAUCGCCUUUCUGUUUUUCUCUCGAGCUGGACUCGAUCGAUCUGUUUUCUCUCUUUUCUCUCGCUGCCAAUCUAGGUUGGUUUUCUAUCCUUCGACUGUCUUUUUUUUUACCCAGUUCAGUUUUGGGUCGAUCCAUACCCGUCGAAACCAAGUCGGUCGAUUUCCCUGUUAGGCGUCCAAGUCGUCGCCGCGGCGUCCCAGGCAACGCCUUUUUUUCUGGUCGCUCGCCUUUCCACCAUCGACCAAGUCGGCCGUUCGCCUUGCCUGAAACUUACACCUGGACGCUAGGCGACGCCUUAACAACUAUGGCAGCAGCACAUAGAGAAGCAAGAAAAAAGAAUUUGGAUGUGGGUCCAUGUGUCUCCUUGAACAUCCUGAGAACUAUUAUCCUUUACCAAGAAUAAUUUCCGUAUCAAAGUCUGAAUCAGUAUUAGAUUCUUCAGUAUUAUCAUCUUCCUCAAUAUUAUUGUCCUCUUCACUAUGAGUAGAUUUAUGCUUGCUGCUUUUACUUCUCAUAAAAAUAUCAUCAUCCUGAAUUGAUUCCAGCUUUUGGGCCAAAAUAUUAAGAACUAUUUUAUUGAUCUCAGCUAAGCUGGCUGUAGGAUAUUUUUCUUUAGAGAUUCUUGAAGGAGUAAAGGAUCUUGAAUAUGAUCUUCUUCUUCAAUGGACCAUUUUGUCCACCAUUUACAGUAAAAUUUCCUUAUUAAGGAAGGGAGACCAAAAUUGAAGUUCUCCUGAUAUCUUGAACCAAAUUUCCAGGCCCAAAUUCAUAAAGAAUUUGAAUAAAUCCAGACCUUAUCUUUCAUGAUUAAGGAAACCCUCUCUCUUUAAGAUGAUUGUGCCAGUUUUUAUACUGAAUGAAGAGAUUAUAAAUCUCUUGAGGUAAAAUUACCGAAUCAGUACCAAAUCUCAUGGUAUGGACCGAUUUGGAAUCUCGCUUUUAGCGAAUUCAGGGGUUAUACAGAAAAACCAAGUACGCUUUUCUGAGGAUUGUCAUAAUAGAAACAGCAAUACCAAGCAUCCUUAUAAUCCGAAUAACUGAAAUCCAUUUAAGGAUAACCAACCAUAUGUCUGGACCUUUUAGGAUCUAAACCCCAAUCAGUGAGAGUGAGCAUCUUUCCUUAUUAAGGAAACCCUUUUAUCUUUAAGAUGAGGGUGCCAGUUUGAGGUAAGAUUACUGAAUUAAAACAAAAUCUCAUCCACCAAUGUAUGGAACAAUUUGGAAUCUCGCUUUUAGCGAAUUCAGGGGCUAUACGGAAAAACCAAGUAUGCUUCUUUUGAGGAUUUUCAUACUAGAAGCAGCAAUACCAAGCAUCCUUAUAAUCCCAAUAAUUGAAAUACAUUUUAGGAUAACCAACCAUAUGUCUGGACCUAUUAGGAUCUAAACCCCAAUCAGUGGGAGUAAGCAUCUUUUUAAAAUAUGCUUUGGAAAAAAAGAAGGGAGAGGUCCUAUCUUUUUCUCCAUGAUAGAAGUGUUCAAAAUCUACUGAUUAAACAUGUGAUGAUUAAUAUUACAAAUCGAGGUCUGAUAAAGUCCUACAUGUAGCAUAGCAAUUUCUUAAUUACAAUUCAUGAAUUAGAAUAAGAACGAAUUAGAAAACAAAUACACACAAAUUUGAGGAUCCAAAAUGAAGAAAAGGUUAAUGGGGGAUACUUACCAUAUGAGAUGAACCAGGAUUUAACUUCAAUUGCACCUCAGGUCCUUGGCCAGAAGUGGUGACCCCUGAAAUAUCAAGCUUGUUCUCAUUUCCAACUAAAUUCCCUGUAGGAAAAAUAAAACACAGCUCAAGUGCUAAAAGUGUUUCAAGGAGACUAAUAAUUGUCUAUAUCAUGCCAAAAACAAAAUAAAUAAUACAUCCUUUUUUCUGGCAAGUAAAAUGUAGGAUACAUCCAACUAAGAUGCCAAAUAUUUAUUGGUGCUUCAUCUUGAACGUAAUACGGUAAUAGCGCCAAAAAAAUGGAGAUAUCAGGAAGACAAAAUAGGUCCUCAAUAUUAGCGUCGUCUGAACUGUCAAUGUUCAAUUACAAAUUCACUUCACCUUUAAAUUUUAAUAAACUGAUUGACCUCUAACCAUCCAAAGUAUUAUGCAUGUUCUAUCAUAAUAUCAUCAACCUACUAAAAUCAUACACAACCACACAAAAUCUGAUGCAGUAGCUUUACUAAGCAAAAAAACACCAAAGAAAUAAAACAAUACAAUAAUAAAAAAGGAGGAACUUAUAGAGUAUAAUAUCACCUUCGGUAUCAGAAGAGGCCUUGAAACAAACAACAUAUUGUGGGUAAAUAUGAGUAUUCUUACUCAUAUCCCAUACUAUAUAAUGUCUUGGAUUAUUAAGAUCAUCAACUCCACUGUCGAAAUUCUCGCAACUCGGAUGAAGUUGCUUAGAUCCAGGAUGAACAACCUCCAUAUUUCCCAUUAUUACACGAGACAAGAUCAUAUACUGUAACCCAUUUUCGUCAACAUCACAAUAAUUUGCACUGUAGCCAAAAAAGCAAAGUUGAAUACCAUUUAUUAAACACACAUUAAGGACAUCAAGAGAUGCAGUACUGGUAGUGCCAAAAUAAAGCAGAAACUUGUCAAAUACUACGGUCUAGCGGCCAAGACCAUGUUAAAACACAUUUACAAUCAACUAGAAGUCUAAAAUUCAAGAUUUUGCAAGCUGAAGUCCAACCAUACUCUGAACCUCUUUUGAGUGGCCAUAUUAAGAACAUUGACUAAAAGCAAUUAUCAAAUAACAAUAGUGAAUUUACUACAAAAGCGAUAUGGAACAUCCAGCACUGUUAUUUAUCUAUAAGCAUAAAGCAUAUCUAUUUAAGAAAUUUUAUUAAGGUAGGACAGAAGGAGAGUGGACAAGAAAAAGUUCACAUUAAAGAACAAGUGAAAAAAAGUAAUAUAAAGCACUUCACCUGUGAGACAUGACUUCAUUGUGGUCUUAGUGUAAGUAAUAAGAUCACACUGAACCAGAAGUAAAUCUCAGAUAUAUGGAUAUACCAACUAAAGCAUUAAUAAAUGAGUUAAAAAGUAAACUGACCUGCUCUGGGUGCAAUUUGCAGGUAAAAGAAGAACACCUAUGCCAUAUGUGGACUUACUUUUGGUUAUUCCACAAUCACCAAGCCCAUACGUCAUGACACUAGACAAUGCUUCUUUAGAUGAAGGAAGCCAAGCAUAUCGGACAUUUGCAUCUCCACGAUAUCUUUUGGUGAUUUCAACCUGCUUCUGGAAGAGUUCCCACCUGGCCUGCAUCACAAUACCUGAACCACUAGAUACUUCAACUAUGUCUGCCUUCAUAAAUGAGCUCAAGCCCUUAAGAAACAUUUCCUGCACAGUAUUAGAAUUCAGAUCUCCAUGAAAAGGAUCGAGCAGGGCCAAGUUUUCCUCCUGCUGGUUUUGUCCAAAAGCCUUGCAAACCUCCUCAUUGGAGACUCUGAUACAACUGUUGUCGGCUUCAGCAUCCAUGGCAGGAUUCUGAACAACCUGAAUUUGACUAACAAUAUCAUUUGAUUCCCCACUAGAUUCCCUCAACUUUGAGAAAUCUAAUCCAGAUAUGUCAAUCUCAAGCUUUAGCUUGAUAUCAUUGGACCCAUAGGACCCAUGAGGCUCUGGAACUAGAUGCCCUUGAUCUUCCUCAUAUUCAUGGUAGCAGCACUCAUGAAUUUUGUCAUGAUCAGAGAAAGUUUCUGGAAAAAAGCAAGCGCCUGCUUCAUCAAUCCAGGCAAUAGGCUGCUGCAUACCUGUCUUCAAGUCCAAUUUCAUCAUAUGCAAAAAGUCUAUCACAAACAAAUGACCAUCAAGCUCAACCUCAGUGGCUGCUCUCUUUAUUUGAAAGUCUUUCUUAACCAAAGAAACAACUUCUUGAGGAAAAUCAGUCCAAUCACCAUUUCUGUAACACAUCAAGCGCUGUGGGAGCCCACUUUUCUUAAAGUUUGAAUAAUUUUUCAGUAAAGACCUCUUGGGUUGUGAGGUGCACCGACCACAAUGGAAUUUUGAUUCAUCCAACUUCCUCCGCUUCCUAAGCUUGUGAAGGGAAGAAUUCAAGGCGGACUGCGGUGGUAACGACAUGCGGGUGGCUCCAGUUUGGAAUUGGCCUACCCGCUUUCUCUUCAGCUCAGCCAUAAGUUGAUGACGCCUAUCCAAUUCCUUUGCGUAAUUUGUUUCCAUUUCUAACCACACUAUUAGUCCCUUUCCACAGAUUGAAAGCCAAGAGUUCAAAGAUAAGAAUUAAAAAUUUCUUAGUUUUGGCUGACUCACAGAAUCCAUGCCAUCGUUGCUGAUGUGAAAAAUGAGUAAAAGAAACUACCUAAUUAAAAACCAAUACAAACAUAUAACAAACUGUGCAAAUGCUAGUCAAAUCCAACAACAAAUAUCAAAGAACCUCACAUAAAGUCUAUAGCAAUCUUGAAACUCCCUAAGAGAAGUAAUCGAGCUAACAACAUACCACAUCAUGCCAAAGGAUAAACAUUAACAAGCUCAAUGACCAUGUCAUGGAAUCGUUGAUUCUACAAAAUAUUUAACGUGUACGAUUCAAAUAAUUCACAUAUGACAAAUGUAUUACUAGAUCAAAGAUAACUAAAUAGUAAAAUGAAACCAAAAAAAUAUACUCCCUCCUCCGUCCCAAAAGGAUGAUUGAAGUGGUAAAAAUUUUGCCUUCAAAAACAUGACAAGAGUGUUACAUAAAUUUUUAUUUGGACAAACUUACCCUUGACUUUACUAUCAUAUUUUACUUACCUCAAUAAUCAACCACUCAUAUCAUUAAUUCUCUCUCUACCCAAAAUCCAAUUAAAUACAUUAACCCAUACAAAUAUCAACUCAUCACAAUACUCGAGGACAAGGGUAAAUUGGGAAAAUAUAUAUACUCUCUCCUAAUUUUUUCACUACCUUAAAUUGUGUGAAAAUUGUACUUCUAUCAUCCUUUUUGGGACAGAAGGAGUAUAUACUUUUCAAAAUGCUCAAAGAUUCCAAAACUGCUGGAAAAUCCUUUUAUAUUUUCAAAAUUGUAGAUUUUACGAACAUAAAGCACAAAACAAACCAUGCUUAGUGCUUUCCCUUGACAAUCAAACUUUGUUCAUAACAAUGAAGGAAACUAUGGACAAAUAUGGUUCAAGUAUAAACAAAAAUAAGAAAUGUGCAUUCUUAUAUGACCAUGCCUCAUUUUAAGUUUUAAUAAAAACUCGAUGUUGCUAAGAAGAUGAAAGUGAUCAGUUGCAAGUAUGUCAAGGUUCCUUCCUUAAAUGACACAAAGGAUCAAUUUUUCUUGAAGGAAAUUCCCAAAGAAAAAGGUUGAGUAAUGAGCUAAUGAUAAGAGUGUAUUAUUAGAUGAGUUGGAAAAAAAAUCAUCCAGGAUCAUUUCAGUUAACCAUAAUAUAUAAAUCAUGACUAUCUUUUUUCCCGGUAUGUAAUAUUUACUACAUAUUUUCUACAUAUAUUGUGCGCAUACUACAGUUUAUUUUUAACUUUUGACACUGUCAACUUACCUUAAAAUUCAAAGCGGAAGUAAUAUUAUCGAACAAAUGAAUCAAGCGCUAAUAAAUAUGGGUAACAUGCCCGUCUAUCUUCAAUUAAUAAAAUUUCUAAUUUUAAUCAAUUAAAUACUACGGAUAAUAUCAAACAGUCCAAUAGUUUUUCAAAUAAAUUCACUGACCUCCUCGCUAAAUAACAAAUAUAUUAUGUAGUUUUAUAAAACAUAUACAGUAUGUAGUUUAUGAUACAGUCACAAUACGAUGCUUAUAGGCAUGGAGUAACAAAGAAAAGUCAAAGGACUAUGAAGUGCGUACUAGGUUUGAUCUUGUCUACAUUUCAAUUCUAUGGCCAAUGAUCCUAGAAGACCCCAUUAACAUACUGUAUCAAUGGGUGGCAUCCCCUUGGUGCCUCUUCGACUAUAUUAGUCCUAAACAGUAUAAUAAAUGAGGUAUUCUACUUCCAAGAUAUGGUGAAGGGGGCAUUCAAGUCUUGUUGUCUACUCUUAAUCAACUCAAGUAGGUAAAUUGAACUCCUUUAAUUGGUAAUAAAUUAACUUCUUAUACAGUACUAGUCGGGCCCACAACAUCAAAACAUAAAAUAAAUUUCUAAGUUAUGGAAGGUUGCUCCUCAUUUACGUAGGGGAAUAUAUAUAAAAUAGAUAAUUUCAUGCAAUCAGGCCCUUCUUGGCAAGUGCUUAUAUAGAAUUACAUUCAAGGAGGAGAAUCUAUGGAAACUCGUCAUUAUUGAGCCAUUUUUUCCCUGGGCAAUGAUCAACAGAUUAUUGCAGAGAGUAUAUUGCUUCAAGAUGUUGGUUUGUGGAAAGCACACUCGCGGUCGGGGUGUAUUUUGCUAAACACAUGGAAAUUGUGGUGGUAUAGAAAAGAUAUUUGGGCUGGGAAAAAGAGGUUCCCGAAUCUAUUUAAAGGUAACAAGUUGAUGCUUCAAAUGCAGACUUCACUCCAUGGGAACAAUAGCCCUUCUUGGCACCCCAUGUAUAGAUGGCACUUUGAGGAUAGGGAGCGCAGGCAUCAGUCUUCCUUGGAGGGAUUUGUUAUUUUUGUGAGGAUCCCACAUAAAGUUGCAUUCUUUAGUUGAACAAUGGUGCAUUGACGAUUCUUACAGACAACAGUUUGAGGUAGAGGGAAAGCUUCUUAUUAAGUAGUGUUGCAUGUGUUGAAGAGUCGAAGGUCUGUUGAUCACUUAUUAUUACAUUCAGAGGUGGUGUAUGGUGGUUUAUGAUCUUUGGUGCUUAUUUUUAAGUCAAAUAAAUGCUCUUCCUAACAAACGCACUUGUUCUCCCAUAUCCUAAUAGUCAGUCUACUUUUUUACCCAAAAUCUCUCUACACCGCUAAAUACAGUUACCAAAAAGUCCAAAAAUUGUAACUGAUUAGAAAUUUAAUUGAGGUACUGAAUUUGUCACGUGGGACCCAUGAGAUGAAACUAAAAGGCGAAGUAGGUAAAGACAAAUCUACUAUAUAUAUUUUUCAUGGGCAUAUUGAUUAUUUGACCCUCUACCUGUCUACAUUCUCUCUUACGUUCCAUACUCUCCUUUUCUUUGUUGAGGAUCAUAAAAUCAAUAAAUAAAUAUAACCUGAUAUGAAUUGCCAUGAACGAAAGAAAAAAGAAACUAGCUAAUAUUGAUAAAAUUAUUGGAAAUUUUGAUCCACCAUUCAACAAUAAAAAGUAGAACAUCAAGAAAGAGAGAGAGAGAGCUACAACUACAUAUAAAAGUUGAACUCAACACAUCUAAGUUGGAAAUUUUUCAAACACGAGUUGUGAAUAGAACAAAAGAUAAAUAGGCAUUAUAACCAUCGAUAGAGUCAGUUGAAUCAAUAGAAGUAAAGAAUACAUACACAUACUUGUAUUAGCAAACACAUAAUCAACAUUGAAGACCUAAGUGGGUGACAACAUAUAUUAUUGUACAUUGAGGGGUCAUAGAAAAAAAAUAUCUUUGAGGUGACCCACUGAAUCACUUAAUCUGGAUCAGAGCUGAGUUGACAUUAUUCAAAAGCAUGAGCACAAAUAAAUGUUCUUUUCCAUACUGUAAAGCCCGUAAUUACUCAUCGCACUAUGGUAAGUUGCAAUGCCAAUUCAAACAUUUAGAUAUUUAAAACACUUUAUCAAACAAACCUAGGCAUCAACAAAAGCAUAGUUGUCUAGAACACAACUUGUCUUGAUCAUCCUCAAUGACGAGCUCAUUUUUGUUAUAGCAUAACUCAUUUGUCAACAUGUUAUAACACCAAAAACAUCCGGAGUUAGGAAGGAAGAAAAUAAGGUUAGUAAAAACGGGACAGUCGAUAAAAAGAAACAAGGAGGCUAAAUUAAAAGUUUUCGCAUUAAAACAUGUGCAAUAUACAUGUUCCUUUGAAAACUAAACCUCCUCAAUAUGUUUGGGUCCAACAUGACCAACUCAGGCUCUAACAUUAAGUAAAUAUGAUGUAGGACGGGGUAGGAAGAAGGAAUAAGAGUACCUCCACAGAGAAUCGGUAAAGAAACACACACAAAAGCACACAGCUUUAAUCUCAAAUCAAUAUAUUCAAUAAUCUCCUACCUAAAAUCUACUACUAUAAUAAACUCUCCUAACUGAAAUCUACUACUACAAUUAAAACUCUCAUAAUGAAAAGCUAUUAGGAAUUUUGGCUUUGAUACCAUUAUGAUGUAGGACGGGGUAGGAAGAAGGAAUAAGAGUACCUAUCUCCGCAGAUAAUCGGUAAAGAAACACACACAAAAGCACACAACUUUAAUCUCAAAUCAAUAUAUUCAAUAAUCUCCUAACUAAAAUCUACUACUAUAAUAAACUCUCCUAACUGAAAUCUACUACUACAAUUAAAACUCUCUUAAUGAAAAGUUAUUACUAUAAUAUCCUACUAAAUAAUUUCAUUAAUAACACAUUUAUCUUUAAAUAAAAAUACAAAAUUAAUAAUAAACUUAUUGAAUUUCUUCUUCCGUACCGCAUCAAAAUAGGUCUCCCAAAUUUACAAUCACAUCAAUUCAACAUCUAUGUUAAGUUCUCCAACAAUUUUUCAAGUGCUUAAGGAAAUAGAUGGGAAAGAAUAGAUGGGCUCGCUAAAACAAUACAAGUCAAAUAGAGCUUUAGUUAAGUUGGUCAUUUUUUUUAGUUAUUCAGACGCCCAAUAUUUUAAAAUGUUUUGGAGGGUUGCAUAAGCAUGAUUGUUAGUAGGCAAUGAUAGAAAAAUAGGUGUUUUGAGGGCGACAAGAGAUUGAAUAGUUCAAAUUAAUUCACUUAUCAACAAAAAAAAUUGUUCAUAUUUGACAUUUGUUUUUGUCGUUUUGGUAAAUUUAGGGUAAACUGAUGUCCACCCUGAAUCUGUUUGUCACUUUUUUGGAUUCCAUGGGUUACUUUGCUUUGCGAGUAUAUUCCAAGGUCUUAAAUCAGAUUUUUGUAUAGGCAUUUGGUAUGGUUGUGGGCAUGCAUACUAUGUAUACAUUAUGUCUACAUGGCCAGUGCCCUCUUUUGAAGUCUCUUCUUAAAUAAAUUAUUAUUUGUCAAAAUAUAUAUACAUACAUAUGUACUUUUAUUACAUGGGAGUUAAGUGAAGUUACUUCCAUAAGAAAGAGAUCCACUCUGAUUGACAUUUGUUCUUCACAGAUGCAUCUAUUUAGUUGUUUAAACAAUUCUCGUCAAUUAAAUAUUUCCAAAAUGAUUACAGAUAUCUUUUAACAGCUGUCAUGGUUAGGAAAUCCUCUCAUUUGGUGUUAUCUGUAAGAAUCAAACAUGGAGUACUUAGAGGGUGUCAAGAUGUUUUGAUUGAAAAAGUCACAAGACUUUUUCCUGUUUUUUCUAGAAAAUAUGUCGCAACUCUGUAGAUUUUGUUCAAAAUUUUGUAAGAAAAAAUUCUAACUAGAAGAUUCAUUUAACACAUGAGCUCAAGAUUUCUUCCAAAGUCCAAUCUUAUGGGGUCGUUGCCCCAAAAAUUUCCCUCCCUUGGAGACACAAACCAGUAAUUAGUAAAGGACAAAAAAAUGUUACGCCCAAUAGCAGUAGGCAACAAACAAAAUUCUAAAAAGAAGUCAAUAAACAAAAAGAUUGCGACAAGCAUUAAACAUGUUAUCUACCCUUUUGCUUGUACAUUUUAACAUUAAUGUAUAUAAAACAUAAAUGAAUAUGUUUCCAAAAUGAGGUUGUGACUACAUUUCAACAUAUAGGAUAAGAUAUAUAACGGUUUUUAAAAAUAACUCAAGUAAACCCAAUAAUUUAUCCAAAAAUAGUUGAGGUAAUCGGGAUUUUGACAAAUAGCGGUCAUUAUAAAUAAGGUAUGCA
rnacentral:lncRNA from 1 species